rnacentral:lncRNA from 1 species
GUCUUUGGGGUGCCCCCUGCCCCCAUAUAUAAAGCAGGGGAGGAGGAGGCCGGCCAACAAGGGGCGCGCCAGAGAGAGGGGAGUUCUACUAGGACUCCACUCCUACUAGGAUUCGGCCCCACCCUUUUUUCCUUCUACCGGAGGGGGAAAAGGGGAAGGAGAGGGAGUAGGAGAAGGAAAGUGGGGUGGUGCUCCCUUCCCAAGUCCAAUUCGGCCUCCUCCCUUAUGGGCUGGUUAGCCUCCCUCCUAUGGCCCAUAAGGCCCAUAUCUUUCCCCGGGGGGUUCCGGUAACCCCGCCGGUACUCCGGUAUGUACCCGCUACACUCUGGAACCCUUCCGGUGUACGAAUACUACCUUCCAAUAUAUCAAUCUUUACCUCUCGACCAUUUCGAGACUCCUCGUUAUGUCCGCGAUCUCAUCCGGGACUCCGAACAAACUUCAGUCAUCAAAUCACAUAACUCAUAAUACAAAUCGUCAUCGAACGUUAAGCAUGCGGACCCUAUGGGUUCGACAACUGUGUAGACAUGACCGAGACACAUCUCCGGUCAAUAAACAAUAGCGGAACCUGGAUGCUCAUAUUGGCUCCUACAUAUUCUACGAAGAUCUUUAUCGGUCAAACCGCAUAACAACAUACGUUAUUCCCUUUUUUUGAGAACUCUGACAGUAGGAGAGGCUCCUACUGACUUUAAAUUAGUGCAACACCAGGAUCAAGGGAGGUGGGGCCCCAUAGUUACAAGGUAUGUAGAUGAGCAGUACAAUACAAACUAGGUGGAGCAAGGAGGUAUCAAAACCUACUAGAAAGAAACAAGCGAAGGGGUGGUAGAGAUCAGAGGGUGCCCACCAAUCCUCUGAUGAAGGAGUGGAGAGAGAUUUUAGUGCGGUGUACCAUCAUGGACAUAUCAUCUUUGAACCUGCCUCUCCAGGAUUCCAUUGAUGGCAUCACAUUUCUAAAAUGUUUAUUAUUCCUCUCUUUCCACACCCCCCAAGCUGCUAUGAUGAAAAUUUCCAUGAAUAAUGGACCACCCCAGGAUCUUCUUCCCUCAUGGAUGAGUUCCAGCCUGCAUUGGGAAUCAUGCCAAUGCAUUCCAAUCGCAGUCCAACAUUCAGUUGCAAAUGGGCAGUGGAAGAAUAGGUGGGUCACUGUUUCCUCCGGGGGCGUGUCACAAAGCAGACAGGUGUACACAUCACCUUCCAGUUUAUACUGCCUUCUCCUCAAUAUGUUUCGAGUAUUCAGACGAUCAGCAAACAGCAGCCAAGCAAAGACUUUCCAUUUGUUCGUGCAUUUGGAUUUCCAAAUCCAAGGAAAGACUGCAUCCACAAGCACCUCUUUAAAGCAGAACUUAUAGUAAUCACUUGAUUUGAAAGCUCCCAGUUCUCUAGCAUCCCAGACACAACACCAUUUGUCAUUUGUGUCAGUGUCAGGAUCAAUCCCCACAGUUAGAGCCUGAAUCUCUUCAACUUCUGCUCUUGCCUGAGGAGAGAAAGGUAUGUGAAAAGCCUCUCCAAUGGUGCUAGAUCUCAGCAAAGUCUGUAGUGACACAUCCUCAGCUCUCGCAAAUGAAAAUGCCCUCGGGCAUGCGGUCUCCAGUGGUUGAUCACUCCAUAGAUCCUUCCAGAACAAGGUUGUACUACCGUUCCCAACUUUGAUCUUAGUCACUCCUCUGAAGAUGUCUGAUAAUUGCAUGAGAUCCCGCCACCAGAAGGAGCCACAAGGUUCCGAGGCAUGCGGUACAACAGCUGAGUAGUAUGCACUCCAUAUCAGGUUCACCCAUGGCAUAUCUAGUUUGUUGUAAAACUUGUGUAGCUGUUUGAGCAAAAGGCCUUGAUUCUGAAGUUUAAGGUCCACAAUCCCAAGUCCCCCUACAGCCUUGGGGCGACAGACAAGCUCCCAAGAGGCAAGAGAGGUGCUUUUUGUCCCAUCCUCCGUCUUCCUGCUCCAGAAGCAUUGCCUACGGAUUUUAUCCAGGUGUUCCACUAUCUUAGGAGGGAUUCUGAGUGAACACAUGGCAUACACCAUAAGUGAUGACACCACUGAAUUAACAUAGGUGAGUUUCGAUCCGUAGUCUAGCAGGUUAGCAGCCACAGAGACUCUUCUCUCGACGGAUGUCACAAGAGGCAUGAAAUCCAUUAUUGUGGGUUUAGUAGUCCCAAGCGGGAGCCCUAAAUAUGUGAAUGGCAUUUUCCCCACAACACAACCGAACAUGUCUGCAAAAUCCAGUGCUUCCGCUUGUGUAACAUUAAUCGGAAUCAAGGUUGAUUUCUGAAAAUUGAGUCGUAACCCAAUGGACGCAGCAUAGUCAACCAGGAGUUUUUUCAGAGCCUCAACCUGCUCUUUCACAGCUGGUAGGAAGACAAUCGUGUCGUCCGCAUACUGGAUUACCGGGUAGUCUAUCUCAGCUGUCGGGAUUGGUUUCUGAAGUAUCCCCUCAUGGAAGGCAUGGUUGAUGGCAGACUGCAACAGAUCAGCCGCUAGGACAAAUAUGAGCGGUGAAAGAGGAUCCCCUUGGCGUACUCCCCGUUUGCAAGAGAACUGCCUUCCUGGUGUGCCAUUUAGAAGGACCGGGGAUUUACCUGACUGGAAGAGACAAGCAAUCCAUUGUAGCCACUUCUCAUUAAACCCCAUCGCUCUCAUGAUCUCUAUCAUAGGGGCAUGUUCAAUAGUAUCAAACGCUUUGGCGAAGUCUAGUUUUAGCAGCAAGACCUUUCUCCCCGACGCCUGACACUGAUGAGUGUACUCGAACGCCCAAGCUAAGCAAUCCUGAAUCGAUCUGCUCUUAAGGAACCCGUAUUGGUUUGUAUGGAUAAUGCGCAAGAUGACCCUCUGAAGACGAUUCGCAAGCAAUUUGGUAAUGAUCUUCAGACAAUAGUUUAGAAGUGUGAUUGGGCGGUAAUCAUUGACUGUUUUUGGGGAUUGGCAUUUAGGAAUCAAAGUAAUGAACCCAGUAUUAAUGCUGUCAAGGUCUAGGUCUCCCUCAUAGAAAUCCAUGACAAGCUGAUAAAAGUCCUGUUUUAUAAUAUUCCAACUUGACUUCAUGAAGCAACCGUUAAAUCCAUCUGGCCCUGGUGCUCUAUCCAGCGGCAUCUCUUUGACCACUAGAUCAAUUUCAUCAGUGGUGAAAGGAACUGUCAAAUCAUCAAGGCCCUCCACUUUCUUAAUGAUUUGAGGUAAGUCAGAGCGCAUGUUUGGGGGGUCAGAGGAGCCCAAACGCUGUCUAUAGGAAGAAAACAGCAAGGACGCCUUUCCUAUGUGAUCCUCAAUGAGCGUACCCUCAUCAAGUUUAAGUGUGGAUAUUGAGUUCUUACGGUAUCGCUCUGUGGCCACUGCAUGAAAGUAUUUCGUGUUACCAUCCCCAACUUGAAAUCUCCGGAUAGUACAUCUUUUCUGCCAAUACAUACGUUUAUACUCCAGUAACUUGAGGAGGUGUGCUUUGAGAAUAAUUCUGAAGUUGGUUUCUGGAGUAGUAAGAGGUCUUUUAUCCUCUAACGUAUCCAAGUUCAGAAGAGUCUCAUUAGAAUUGUCAAUGAGAAUGGAUAAUCUUGAGAUUUUCCUGCUCCAGGAUUUUAAGGCGUAACGCAACUUCUUCAGUUUUCUACAGAUCAGAGCCGCGGAGUUAGCCGCAUAGCAGGGUUGGUUCCAAGAGCGUUGCACAGUGUCAUGAAACCCUGAAAGAUGUAUCCAGUAGUUCUCAAAGCGAAACACUUUGCUCUUAGGGAUACACGAGUCUAUGCCAAUGACGCAGGGGACAUGAUCUGAGACAGGUUUACCCAAGGGCGAGAUAGUGGUAUUGGGAUAUGAAGAAGUCCAAUGCACCGAGGAGAAGAACCAAUCCAACUGCACGAGCAAAGGGUCAUUUUGCAUAUUACUCCACGUGUACGUCCUACCCUUGAUGGGUAGUUCCACUAAAGACUGGGUGCGAAUAAAAUCAUUGAAGAUCAACAUAUCAUUGGCGUUGCCACCCGGCCUACUUCCGUUAUCAGGUGCUCGACAGUAAUUAAAAUCACCAGCCAAGAUCCAAUCAUCAGAGAUUGGAAUGUGCAUACUGAACAGCCAUGCCGUAAAGGUAGAACGAUCAAUACCAUCACAUGGGCCAUAAAUAUUGAUUAGAGUCCAGACAGCAUUGGAGUGUAACGAAGUGAAUUUAGUUCCAAGGGCAAAAGACUCCUCAAGGAAAACCAUACCAGAGAAAACAGAGGAAUUCCAAGCAGUAAACAGACCACCCGAUGCCCCAUGAGAGGGAAUAAAAGCAAACAUAUCGAGUCUCUUGGGACAAAUAGUUUUAACAAAAGCCCUAUCGAAAUUCUCACGCUUAGUUUCUUGCAGACAUAAUACAUCACAACCACUUAUAUCAAUAGCAUUACGAAUAGCAAGAUGUUUUUUGUCCGCGUUAAGUCCACGGACAUUCCAGCAAAGGAUAUUCCACCUCCUAGUUUGCGGCAUCGUUGGGAGAGGAUGAAGCUGGCGGAGCGACCAUCAGCUUCUCAGCAGUGAGAUCUUCAGGCGACACUCCACAUCGGACAAUGCCAAUCUCCUGAAGAACUGAGAUUGGUGUAGGAGCAGGGACAGACUCUAAACUGCCAUCCAAAAUAACAGGAUGACCAGACGGGGCCGUAGCAGACAAGUUGCGAGUGACAACCGGAGUUUUCCGAGGUUUCACCUUGGACAUGCCUCGUUUGAGAUCAGAAGGCUGAGUGACACGAAACCCAUCAUAACGGGUGGAGCGAGUACUGCGGCGUAGGUGGGUAGUGUCCACAUGACCAGGCUCCUAUAGAAGCAUUUUGCCAACACGGUCAGAUCCACUGUCAGCAACUCCAGCAAAGACCAAACCAACAGUCCCGCUGCUCCCAUUCCUAGAAAGAGCAGAUGGUGGAGUGUACUCCGACCCAGCAGGCUCAACAAAAAUGCAGAUAGUAUAGGUCCCAUUAUCCAGAAAGAGAGCUUUUGGGAGUCUGGCCCAGAUACAGUCCUCCCUCCUGAGAUCAGUGCAGCAUUGAGUCCAGAUAUGGACCAUAGCAUUGCCCACAAUCGCAAACAAGUUGAGUGGAUUGAGAGGGAACUGAAAGGCACCAAAAGAGCUGGGUGGAGGGCUAUCAUUGCAGAGCCUAGGGGUGCAGAGACCAGCGUAGAUGAGACCAAAGAUGUCCAGCAUAGCAGUAAAAGGGUCAACAACCACAGACCUCUCAAAGCCAGAAGCACGAACAAACUGCAUCCCUGGGGUGUCAACACCUCGAACAAAGUUAUCUGCCGCCUCAUAAAUAUCGGAGUACAUAGACCAUUCAUCCUGCGGAUCAUCAGAAAAAUUACUGUCGUGCUCCACACCAUCCAUCAGAGAGUUACCAGUGUACUGGAAAUAGGUUCUGAAACUAAAGCCUCGGUAUGGUGGUGGUACAACAGGCCAAACUCCCCAACCAUUCUCUUGCAACUGUUCGUGCUGCUGCUGUGGAAGCCCCUGGUCCCAAGCUUCAUCUACCUGCUGUUGAAUCCAUUGCUGAUGGUCAAGCUGCCACUGUUGAGCUGCAGACAGGAACGGCAGCUCGUAUGGGUGUGGCGAAGCAUUCAUGGGCGGGGGGGCAUCCUCAUUACCAACUAAUCCAGGCAGCGUGUCACGACCAUUCAAAAUAUAAACUGGCACCGACCACGAGCGCCCCAUCCCUGGCAGAUGACUGGACCUCCUAACAAUCAGACUAUGUGGAACCAGAGCAAUAUCACUGACGAUGGCACACACCAACACUCUCUCCUUGUUCUGUCCAGGUCUGUGCCAAAGCUCAAGUUUGCCAAAACAGGAUACUGCUUUAUUGAUAUAAUGCUCUGUUUGGUAAUCCAUGGGGAAAGCAAGAAAUAGUAUCCAGGCCACAUACUGAAACGGACACAACCGCAUAUUUUCCCCUUCAUCGUGCGGAACAAGAGAAAAUGUCAUACUUUCAUCCACAGGAUCCAGUUGAUGAGGGCUCUGUCUAAUAUACUCAUCCCGGAUAAAAACAUCCUCAAAAGCAACCAUGCCAACUCCAAUCGGAUAAACAAAGGCAUCAGGGAUACGCAGAUGAAAAUCAUCUCGAAGAAUACUAAGCACAUCUUGCAGCACUAACUCCUUGCAAUGGUCCGGAAUUGCGGGGGUAACAGUGACAAUAGCAUACCUAUCGUGGCUCAACGGAGGGUCAUCCACGACUAUGGUGUUCCUCUGUAGCCGGUGGUCCGGCCCCCGCUCGAGCGCAGCUCCCUCCGGCACAAAACGGAAAGGCACUGCAGGGAAGUUCGCCAUUGCCACCCUAGUGCGCAGCUUGGGGACGGUCAGGGGUGGAGGAGCAGGGGUGGGUUGCAAUGACAGGGCUAUGGGUGGCAGACUCGACGAAUGAGAAAGAGCCGGAAGCGGAGGAGACGGCGAGAGAAUACCUUUCUGCAGCACAGAAUCCCCAGUAGUCCUGUUUUUGGGUACCCAAAUCUGUGUGACCAAGGAAAGUUUGGGACUCCUCGAUAUACUCACUCGCGGCUUGUGGGCUUGGCAGGAAACUUGCCAGCGGAGAUAUAAGGCGGUAUCUUCUCCACAUUGGCGGCCCAGGUGGCCCAGCAACCCACAACGUGUACAAAGUAAUUUAGACGGGCAGCAGACAGCAAUAUGAGAGAUGCUAUUGCACAAGUCACAACUUGGUCGGCGCGUAUCAGCAGAUUCCAUAUUGCCUGAAGGAACUUUCCCAGAGAAUGCACAGAAUGACGUAGGUGCAAUGUGCAGUCAGCAGCGAUGUGGCCCAUUCUAGAACAAAUAUGGCAUAGCCCCAAACGGGCAAUAAUAUAUUUCCGAUUAGGCACUGACACUAAAUUCAGAGCUGCCAUAAUAUCAUCAUUCGCAUACUUGUCUUGCCAAAAAUCAAGAAUAUCAUAAAGGGUGUUAUCUGGAAUCAAAUCCCAACUCUUGGAAGGACAAUUAAUACCCACAAAUUUCUUGAUUGGCAAAAUAUCCUGAGAUGUCACCGGAGCAAAUUGACCAAAAAUAAUCCCUUUAUCAGCGGAGACGUCCAUAUAUGUGUUUUCCUUAGCACUUUCCAAAUUUGGAUGAUCGGGAUGAACAUCAUGAUCAAGAACUUGAAUCAAACCAAACUUAAGUAAUUCAGAAGAUUGUUGACCAAUAGGUGCCUCAGAAUUAUGUAGGAAAUCUAGAUUGGUCUUGACCGCUAUAGGGCUACGAGAAAGAGCCAAAGGAAUAGUCAACUCUUCAUCAACGGAUUUGUGAUCAACUGCCAACCAGAAAUGAUGAUGAGGGCCAAAAAGAUUGAAAUGACAGAUGAAAUCCGGCCAGAUGCGGUCUCGAAGCCCAUAAAUGAAAUGCCCAACUUUAUUGGAAGCCACAGAAAACCGAUAGGCACGAUCAUGUAGAUGAACCACAUUGAAACCAUCCGCAAUUCCACCAAUGCAGCAUUGGAGCACAAGACUAACUGAUAAUACAGAGAGCUUGAACGAGGCAGACGAGAAAGUGACCACCAAGAAGAAUUCCUUGGUAUAUGCAGAGGGAGAGAAAUGAACCGUGGAUUUGAAGCGACGACGAACCUGUUCAGCCACUGCAAGGCCAGGAUUGAAAUCCCAGUGCAAUAGACCAUCCAUGAGAACUUCUUAGAGAUCACCAUGAUCAACGGCGAGGAAGGGCUUGGUGAUGGAGGGCACGGUGGUGGAGGGCACGGUGGUGGAGGCCAUUUCGGGAGGUCCAACAAUGCUGAUAAAACAGUACAAUAUGCUUCUGGCAAUCUGACACCGAUUGAACUGCUGCACGUCCACCGCGAGGGCGAGGGAGUACGUUAUUUGCCCGAGAUUCGAUCGUCGGUAUCAUCAUACCUAGUUCAAUCUCGUUACCGGCAAGUCUCUUUAUUCCUUCCGCAAUGCAUCAUCCCACAACUAACUCAUUAGUCACAUUGCUUGCAAGGCUUAUAGUGAUGAGCAUUACCGAGAGGGCCUAGAGAUACCUCUCCGAUACACGCAGUGACAAAUCCUAAUCUUGAUCUAUGCCAACUCAACAAACACCUUCGGAGACACCUGUAGAGCAUCUUUAUAAUCACCCAGUUACGUUGUGACGUUUGAUAGCACACAAGGUGUUCCUUUGGUAUUCGGGAGUUGCAUAAUCUCAUAGUCUGAGGAAUAUGUAUAAGUCAUGAAAAAAGCAAUAGCAAUAAAACUAAAUGAUCAUUAUGCUAAGCUAAUGGAUGGGUCUUGUCCAUCACAUCAUUCUCUAAUGAUGUGAUCCCGUUCAUCAAGUGACAACACAUGUCUAUGGUUAGGAAACUUAACCAUCUUUGAUUAACGAGCUAGUCAAGUAGAGGCAUACUAGGGACACUCUGUUUGUCUAUGUAUUCACACAUGUACUAAGUUUCCGGUUAAUACAAUUCUAGCAUGAAUAAUAAACAUUUAUCAUGAUAUAAGGAAAUAUAAAUAACAACUUUAUUAUUGCCUCUAGGGCAUAUUUCCUUCAGUCUCCCACUUGCACUAGAGUCAAUAAUCUAGUUCACAUCGCCAUGUGAUUUAACACCAAUAGUUCACAUCACCAUGUGAUUAGUUCACAUCGCCGUGUGACUAAUACCCAAAGGGUUUUACUAGAGUCAAUAUCUAGUUCACAUCGCUAUGUGAUUAACACCCAAAGAGUACUAAGGUGUGAUCAUGUUUUGCUUGUGAGAGAAGCUUAGUCAAUGGGUCUGUCACAUUCUGAGCAGUAUGUAUUUUGCAAAUUUUCUAUGUGUACAAUGCUCUCCAGGAGCUACUCUAGCUAAUUGCUCCCACUUUCAAUAUGUAUCCAGACUAAGACUCAGAGUCAUCCGGAUCGGUGUAAAAGAUUGCAUCAGCGCAACUAUUUGCAACGAACUCUUUAUCACCUCCAUAACCGAGAAAUAUCUCCUUAGUCUUCUAAGGAUAAUUUUUACAGCUGUCAAGUGAUCCACUCCUGGAUCAAUAUCGUACCCCCUUGCCAAACUCAUGGCAAGGUACACAAUGGGUUUGGUACACAGCAUAGCAUACUUUAUAGAACCUAUGGCUGAGGCAUAGGGAAUGACUUUCAUUCUCUUUCUAUUUUCCGCCGUGGUCGUGUUUUGAGUCUUACUCAACUUUACACCUUGCAAUAGAGGCAAGAACUCCUUUGACUAUUCCAUUUUGAACUACUUCAAAAAUCUUGUCAAGGUAUGUACUUAUUCAAAAAUCUUAUCAAGCGUCUUGAUCUAUCUCUAUAGAUCUUGAUGCCCAAUAUGUAAGCAGCUUCACCGAGGUCUUUCUUCGAAAAACUCCUUUCAAACACUCCUUUAUGCUUUCUAGAAAAUUCUACAUCAUUUCUGAUCAACACUAUGUCAUUCACAUAUACUUAUCAGAAAGGCUGUAGUGCCCCCACUCACUUUCUUGUAAAUACGGGGUUCACCGCAAGUAUGUAUAAAACUAUAUGCUUUGAUCAACUUAUCAAAGCGUAUAUUCCAACUCCGAGAUGCUUGCACCAGUCCAUAGAUGGAUCGCUGGAGCUUGCACAUUUUUUUAGCACCUUUAGGAUUGACAAAACCUUCUGGUUGUAUCAUAUACAACUCUUCUUUAAUAAAUCCAUAAAGGAAUGCAGUUUUGAUAUCCAUUUGUCAGAUUCAUAAAAUGUGGCAAUUGCUAACAUGAUUCAGACAUACUUUAAGCAUCGAUACGAGUGAGAAAAUCUCAUCAUAGUCAACAUCUUGAAUUUGUCAAAAACCCUUUUCGACAAGUUGAGCUUUGUAGAUAGUAACACUACUAUCAGCGUUCGUCUUCCUCUUGAAGAUCCAUUUAUUCUCAAUGGCUUGCCGAUCAUCGUGCAAGUCCACCAAAGUCCAAACUUUGUUCUCAUACAUGGAUUCUAUCUUAGAUUUCAUGGCCUCAAGCCAUUUAUCGGAAUCUGGGCUCAUCAUCGCUUCCUCAUAGUUCGUACGUUCAUCAUGAUCUACCAACAUGACUUCUAGAACAGGAUUACCGUACCACUCUGAUGCGGAUCGUACUCUGGUUGACCUACGAGGUUCGGUAGUAACUUGAUCUGAAGUUUCAUGAUCAUCAUCGUUAACUUCCUCACUAAAUGGUGUAGGCAUCACUGGAACAGAUUUCAGUGAUGAGCUACUUUCCAAUUCGAGAGAAGGUACAAUUACCUCAUCAAGUUCUACUUUCCUCCCACUCACUUCUUUCAAGAGAAACUCCUUCUCUAGAAAGGACCCACUCUUAGCAACAAAGAUCUUGCCUUCGGAUCUGUGAUAGAAGGUGUUGCUACCUCUUGAGCAUGCGUUGGUUUUCCCUUGAAGAGGAAAGGGUGAUGCAGCAAAGUAGCGUAAGUAUUUCCCUCAGUUUUUGAGAACCAAGGUAUCAAUCCAGUAGGAGGUUACAUGCAAGUCGCCUUGUACCUGCACAAACAAAUAAGAACCUUGCAACCAACGCGGUAAAGGGGUUGUCAAUCCCUUCACGACCACUUGCAAAAGUGAGAUCUGAUAGAGAUAAUAAGAUAAAUAUUUUUGGUAUUUUUAUGAUAUAGAUUGGAAAGUAAAGAUUGCAAAAUAAACGGCGGCAGAAAUAGUAAAUUGAUAGGAAAAUAAUAUGAUGGAAGAUAGACCCGGGGGCCAUAGGUUUCACUAGUGGCUUCUCUCAAGAUAGCAUAAUCUACGGUGGGUGAACAAAUUACUGUCGAGCAAUUGAUAGAAAAGCGCAUAGUUAUGAGAAUAUCCAGGCAUGAUCAUGUAUAUAGGCAUCACGUCCGCGACAAGUAGAUCGAAAUGAUUCUGCAUCUACUACUAUUACUCCACACAUCGACCACUAUCAAGCAUGCAUCUAGAGUAUUAAGUUCAUAAGAACAGAGUAACGCAUUAGGCAAGAUGACAUGAUGUAGAGGGAUAAACUCAAGCAAUAUGAUAUAAACCCCAUCUUUUUAUCCUCGAUGGCAACAAUACAAUACGUGCCUUGCUGCCCCUGCUGUCACUAGGAAAGGACACCGCAAGAUUGAACCCAAAGCUAAGCACUUCUCCCAUUGCAAGAAAUAUCAAUCUAGUAGGCCAAACCAAACUGAUAAUUCGAAGAGACUUGCAAAGAUAACAAAUCAUACAUAUAAGAAUUCAGAGAAGAACCAAAUAUUGUUCAUACAUAAUCUUGAUCAUAAACCCACAAUUUAUCGGAUCUCGACAAACACACCGCAAAAAGAAUUACAUCAAAUAGAUCUCCAAGAGAAUCGAGGAGAACUUUGUAUUGAGAUCCAAAGAGAGAGAAGAAGCCAUCUAGCUAAUAACUAUGGACCCGAAGGUCUGUAGUAAACUACUCACACAUCAUUGGAGAGGCUAUGGCGUUGAUGUAGAAGCCCCCCAUGAUCGAUUCCCCCUCCGGAGGAGCGCCGGAAAAGGCCCCAAGAUGGGAUCUCACGGGUACAGAAGGUUGCGGCGGUGGAAAUAGGGUUUCGUGGUGCUCUCUGAUGUUUUCAGGGUAUAUGAGUAUAUAUAGGCGAAGGAAGGAGGUCGGUGGAGCCACGAGGGGCCCAUGAGGGUGGGGGGCGCGCCUACCCCCCUGGGCGCGCCUCCCUACCUUGUGGCCGCCUCGUUGCUUCCUUAACGUCCACUCCAAGUCCCCUGGAUUGCGUUUGUUCCAAAAAUAACUCUCCCGAAGUUUCAUUCCGUUUGAUAUUCCUUUUCUGCGAAACACUGAAAUAGGCAAAAAACAGCAAUUUGCACUGGGCCUUUGGUUAGUAGGUUAGUCCCAAAAAUAAUAUAAAAGUGCAUAAUAAAGCCCAUUAAACAUCCAAAACGGAUAAUGUAAUAGCAUGGAACAAUCAAAAAUUAUAGAUACGUUGGAGACGUAUCAUGCAUCCCCAAGCUUAAUUCCUGCUUCGAGUAGGUAAAUGAUAAAAAACAGAAUUUUUGAUGUGGAAUGCUACCUAGCAUAAUUCUCAAUGUAAUUUACUUUAUUGUGGUAUGAAUGUUCAGAUCCAAAGAUUCAAGAUAGAAGUUUAAUGUUGACAUAAAAAUAAUAAUACUUCAAGCAUACUAACAAAGCAAUCAUGUCUUCUCAAAGUAACAUGGCCAAAGAAAGUUAUCCCUACAAAAUCAUAUAGUCUGGCUAUGCUCUAUCUUCAUCACACAAAAUAUUUAAAUCAUGCACAACCCCAAUGACAAGCCAAGCAAUUGUUUCAUACUUUUGAUGUUCUCAAACUUUUUCAAUUUUCACGCAAUAAAUGAGCGUGAGCCAUGGACAUAGCACUAUAUGUGGAAUAGAAUGGUGGUUGUGGAGAAGACAAAAAGGAGAAGAUAGUCUCACAUCAACUAGACGUAUCAACGGGCUAUGGAAAUGCCCAUCAAUAGAUAUCAAUGUGAGUGAGUAGGGAUUGCCAUGCAACGGAUGCACUAGAGCUAUAAGUGUAUGAAAGCUCAACAAAAGAAACUAAGUGGGUGUGCAUCCAACUCGCUUGCACACGAAGACCUAGGGCAUUUUGAGGAAGCCCAUCAUUGGAAUAUACAAGCCAAGUUCUAUAAUGUAAAAUUCCCACUAGUAAAUGAAAGUGACAACAUAGGAGACUCUCUAUCAUGAAGAUCACGGUGCUACUUUGAAGCACAAGUGUGGUAAAAGGAUAGUAACAUUGUCCCUUCUCUCUUUUUCUCUCAUUUUUUUGUUUGGGCCUUUUCUCUUUUUUUAUGGCCUCUUUUUUUCUUGUUUUCGUCCGGAGUCGCAUUCCGACUUGUGGGGGAAUCAUAGUCUCCAUCAUCCUUUCCUCACUUGGGACAAUGCUCUAAUAAUGAUGAUCAUCACACUUUUAUUUACUUACAACUCAAGAAUUACAACUCAAUACUUAGAACAAAAUAUGACUCUAUGUGAAUGCCUCCGGCGGGUGUACCGGGAUAUGCAAUUAAUCAAGAGUGACAUAUAUGAAAGAAUUAUAAAGGUGGCUUUGCUACAAAUACGAUGUCAACUACAUGAUCAUGCAAAGCAACAUGACAAUGAUGAAACGUGCCAUAACAAAUGGAACGGUGGUAAGUUGCAUGGCAAUAUAUCUCGGAAUGGCUAUGGAAAUGCCAUAAUAGGUAGGUAUGGUGGCUGUUUUGAGGAAGGUAUAUGGUGGGUGAAUGAUACCGGCGAAAGGUGCGCAGUAUUAGAGAGGCUAGCAAUGGUGGAAGGGUGAGAGUGUGUAUAAUCCAUGGACUCAACAUUAGUCAUAAAGAACUCACAUACUUAUUGCAAAAAUCUAUUAGUUAUCAAAACGAAGUACUACGCGCAUGAUCCUAGGGGGAUAGAUUGGUAGGAAAAGACCAUCGCUCGUCCCCGACCGCCACUCAUAAGGAAGACAAUCAAUAAAUAAAUCAUGCUCUGACUUCAUCACAUAACGGUUCACCAUACGUGCAUGCUACGGGAAUCACAAACUUUAGAACAAGUAUUUCUCAAAUUCACAACUACUCAACUAGCAUGACUCUAAUAUCACCAUCUUCAUAUCUCAAAACAAUUAUCAAGUAUCAAACUUCUCAUAGUAUUCGAUGCACUUUAUAUCAUAGUUUCUAUUAUACCUAUCUUGGAUGUUCAUCAUAUUAGGACUAAUUUUAUAGCCAAAGCAAAUUACCAUGCUGUUCUAUAAGACUCUAAAAAUAAUAUAAGUGAAGCACGAGAGAUCAAUAAUUUCUAUAAAAUAAAACCACCACCGUCCUCUAAAAGAUAUAGGCGAAGCACUAGAGCAAAAUUAUCUAGCUCAAAAGAUAUAAGUGAAGCACAAAGAGUAUUCUAAUAAAUUCCGAUUCAUGUGUGUCUCUCUCAAAGGUGUGUAAAGAAAGCAUGAUUGUGUUAAACUAAAAAGCAAAGACUCAAAUCAUACAAGACGCUCCAAGCAAAACGCAUGUCAUGUGGUGAAUAAAAAUAUAGCCUCAAGUAAAGUUACCGAUGGACAAAGACGAAAGAGGGGAUGCCUUCCGGGGCAUCCCCAAGCUUAGGCUUUUGGUUGUCCUUGAAUUUUACCUUGGGGUGCCUUGGGCAUCCCCAAGCUUAGGCUCUUGCCACUCCUUAUUCCAUAAUCCAUCAAAUCUUUACCCAAAAACUUGAAAACUUAACAACACAAAACUCAACAGAAAAUCUCAUAAGCUCCGUUAGUAUAAGAAAACAAAUCACCACUUUAAGGUACUAUAAUGAACUCAUUCUUUAUUUAUAUUGGUGUUAAACCUACUGUAUUCCAACUUCUCUAUGGUUCAUACCCCCCGAUACUGGCCAUAGAUUCAUCAAAAUAAGCAAACAACACACGAAAAACAGAAUGUCAAAAACAGAACAGUCUGUAGAAAUCUAUAUCAAACGUAUAAUUCUGUAACUCCAAAAAUUCUGAAAUAAAUUGGUGGACGUGAGGAAUUUGUUUAUUAAUCAUCUGCAAAAAUAAUAAACCUAAAAGCGCUCUCCAGUAAAAAAAGGCAGCUAAUCUCGUGAGCACUAAAGUUUCUGUUUUUUACAGCAAGAUCAUAAAGACUUCACCCAAGUCUUCCCAAAGGUUCUACUUGGCACAAACACUAAUUAAAACAUAAAACCACAUCUAACCAGAGGCUAGAUGAAUUAUUUGUUUACUAAACAGACAAAAAAAGCAAGAAACAAAAAUAAAAUUGGGUUGCCUCCCAACAAGCGCUAUCGUUUAACGCCCCUAGGUAGGCAUAAAGGCAAGAAUAGAUCUAGGUAUUGCCAUCUUUGGUAUGCAAUCCAUAAGUGGCUCUCAUAAUAGAUUCAUAAGGUAAUUUAAUUUUAUUCCUAGGAAAGUGUUUCAUGCCUUUCCUUAACGGAAAUUGGAAUCUAACAUUUCCUUCUUUCAUAUGAAUAAUUGCACCAAUCGUUCUAAGGAAAGGUCUACCAAGAAUAAUAGAACAUGUAGGAUUGCAAUCUAUAUCAAGAACAAUAAAAUCUACGGGCACAUAAUUCUUAUUUGCAACAAUAAAAACAUCAUUAAUCCAUCCCAUAGGUUUCUUAAUGGUGGAAUUUGCAAGAUGCAAGUUUAAAGAACAAUCAUCAAAUUCACGGAAACCUAACACAUCACACAAAGUUUUUGGAAUCGUGGAAACGCUAGCACCCAAAUCACACAAAGCAUAGCAUUCGUGAUCUUUAGUCUUAAUUUUAAUAGUAGUUUCCCACACAUCAUAAAGUUUUCUAGGUAUAGAUACUUCUAAUUCAAGCUUUUCUUCAUAAGAUUGCAUUAAAGCAUCAACGAUAUGUUUAGUAAAAGCUUUAUUUUGAUCAUAAGCAUGAGGAGAAUUUAACACGGAUUGCAACAAGGAAAUACAAUCUAUUAAAGAACAAUUAUCAUAAUUAAAUUCCUUGAAAUCCAAAAUAGUGAGUUCAUUGCUAUGUAAAGUUUUGACCUCUUCAAUCCCACUUUUACCAAUUUUUGCAUCAAAAUCUAAAAACUCAGAAUCAUUGGGACGCCUUUUAACUAAAGUUGACUCUUCUACAAUCCCAUCAUUAUCAAGAUUCAUAUUGCAAAACAAAGAUUUAAUAGGAGACAUAUCAAUCACUUUUAGAUCUUCAUCCUUAUUAUCAUGAAAACUAGAAGAACACGCUUUCAUAAAGCAAUCCUUUUUAGCACGCAUCCUAGUGGUUCUUUCUUUGCAUUCAUCAAUGGAAAUUCUGAUAGCUUUGAGAGACUCAUUGAUAUCAUGCUUAGGUGGAAUAGAUCUAAGUUUCAAAGAAUCAACAUCAAGAGAAAUUCUAUCCAUGUUCCUAGCCAACUCAUCAAUCUUAGGCAAUUUUUCUUCAAGCAAAGCAUUGAAAUUCUUUUGCGAAAUCAUAAAUUCUUUAACACUAGUCUCAAAAUCAGAGGGCAUCUUAUUAAAAUUUCCAUAAGAGUUGUUGUAGGAAUUACCAUAAUUAUUAGAGGAAUUAUUAGGAAACGGCCUAGGAUUAAAGUUUCCUCUAUACGCGUUGUUACCAAAAUUGUUCCUACCAACAAAAUUCACAUCCAUAGAUUCAUUAUUAUUCUCAAUAAAAGUAGACAAAGGCAUAUCAUUAGGAUCAGAAGAAACACUCUUAUUAGCAAACAAUUUCAUGAGUUCAUCCAUCUUUCCACUCAAAACAUUAAUCUCUUCUAUCGCAUGAACCUUUUUACUAGUAGAUCUUUCGGUGUGCCAUUGAGAAUAAUUAACCAUAAAAGUGCCUCCCGCGACCGAAUCUAAAAGAUUUCUAGAAGCAAAAUUCAAUCUGACAUAAAAAAUUUGUAUAAUCAUCCAUAAAUUCAAACCAUGUGUAGGGCAAUUACGUAUCAUUAAUUUCAUCCUCUCCCAAGAUUGUGCAACAUGCUCAAGAUCAAGUUGCUUAAAAUUCAUAAUAUCGUUUCUAAGAGAGAUGAUCUUAGCGGGAGGAAAAUACUUAGAGAUAAAAGCAUCUUUGCACUUAUUCCAUGAAUCGAUACUAUUUUUAGGCAAAGAUGAAAACCAAGUUUUAGCACGAUCUCUAAGCGAAAACGAAAAUAGCUUCAAUUUAACAAUAUCAUUAUCCAUGUCUUUCUUCUUUUGCAUAUCACACAAAUCAACAAAGUUGUUUAGAUGUGUAGUGGCAUCUUCACAAGGAAGGCCAGAGAAUUGAUCUUUCAUGACAAGAUUCAGCAAAGCAGCAUUAAUUUCACAAGAUUCAGUAUCGGUAAUAGGAGCAAUCGAAGUGCCAAGAAAAUCAUUCUUGUUGGUAUUGGAAAAGUCACACAAUUUAGUAUUGUCUUGAGCCAUCGUGACAAACAAUCCAACACACAAGCACACAAGAAGCAAGCAAAAAGAUAUGAACGGAAAUAGAGGGCGAAUAAAACGGCAAGGGUGAAGUGGGGGAGAGGAAAACGAGAGGCAAAUGGCAAAUAAUGUAAUGCAAGGGAGAAGAGUUUGUGAUGGGUACUGGGUAUGUCUUGACUUGUGCGUAGACCUCCCCGGCAACGGCGCCAGAAAUCGCUAGUUGCUGGGAGAUCAAAUCUUGACUUGACUUGGCGUAAGCCUCCCAGGCAACGGUGCCAGAAAUCCUUCUUGCUACCUCAUGAGCAUGCGUUGGUUUUCCCUUGAAGAGGAAAGGGUGAUGCAGCAAAGUAGCGUAAGUAUUUCCCUCAGUUUUUGAGAACCAAGGUAUCAAUCCAGCACGAGGUUACACGCAAGUCGCCUUGUACCUGCACAAACAAAUAAGAACCUUGCAACCAACGCGAUAAAGGGGUUGUCAAUCCCUUCACGACCACUUGCAAAAGUGAGAUCUGAUAUAGAUAAUAAGAUAAAUAUUUUUGGUAUUUUUACGAUAUAGAUUGGAAAGUAAAGAUUGCAAAAUAAACGGCGGCAGAAAUAGUAAAUUGAUAGGAAAAUAAUAUGAUGGAAGAUAGACCCGGUGGCCAUAGGUUUCACUAGUGGCUUCUCUCAAGAUAGCAUAAUCUACGGUGGGUGAACAAAUUACUGUCGAGCAAUUGAUAGAAAAGCGCAUAGUUAUGAGAAUAUCCAGGCAUGAUCAUGUAUAUAGGCAUCACGUCCGCGACAAGUAGACCGAAACGAUUCUGCAUCUACUACUAUUACUCCACACAUCGACCGCUAUCCAGCAUGCAUCUAGAGUAUUAAGUUCAUAAGAACAGAGUAAUGCAUUAGGCAAGAUAACAUGAUGUAGAGGGAUAAACUCAAGCAAUAUGAUAUAAACCCCCUCUUUUUAUCCUCGAUGGCAACAAUACAAUACGUGCCUUGCUGCCCCUGCUGUCACUAGGAAAGGACACCGCAAGAUUGAACCCAAAGCUAAGCACUUCUCCCAUUGCAAGAAAGAUCAAUCUAGUAGGCCAAACCAAGCUGAUAAUUCAAAGAGACUUGCAAAGAUAACAAAUCAUACAUAUAAGGAUUCAGAGAAGAACCAAAUAUUGUUCAUAGAUAAUCUUGAUCAUAAACCCACAAUUCACCGGAUCUCGACAAACACACCGCAAAAAGAAUUACAUCAAAUAGAUCUCCAAGAGAAUCGAGGAGAACUUUGUAUUGAGAUCCAAAGAGAGAGAAGAAACCAUCUAGCUAAUAACUUGGACCCGAAGGUCUGUAGUAAACUACUCACACAUCAUCGGAGAGGCUAUGGUGUUGAUGUAGAAGCCCUUCGUGAUCGAUUCCCCCUCCGGCGGAGCGCCGGAAAAGGCCCCAAGAUGGGAUCUCAUAGGUACAGAUGGUUGCGGCGGUGGAAAUAGGGUUUCGUGGUGCUCUCUGAUGUUUUCAGGGUAUAUGAGUAUAUAUAGGCGAAGGAAGGAGGUCGCUGGAGCGAGAAGGGGCCCAUGAGGGUGGAGGCGCGCCUCCCUACCUCAUGGCCGCCUCGUUGCUUCCUUGGCGUCCACUCCAAGUCUCCUGGAUUGCGUUUGUUCCAAAAAUAACUCUCCCGAAGGUUUCAUUCCGUUUGGAUUCCGUUUGAUAUUCCUUUUCUGCGAAACACUGAAAUAGGCAAAAAAACAGCAAUUUGCACUGGGCCUUUGGUUAGUAGGUUAGUCCCAAAAAUAAUAUAAAGUGCAUAAUAAAGCCCAUUAAACAUCCAAAACAGAUAAUAUAAUAGCAUGGAACAAUCAAAAAUUAUAGAUACGUUGGAGACGUAUCAGGUGUACCCAACAGUUUCUUUGGGGUAUCCUAUGAAGACGCACUUCUCCGAUUUGGGUUUGAGCUUAUCAGGCUGAAACUUUUUCACAUAAGCAUCACAAUCCCAAACUUUAAGAAACGACAGCUUAGGAUUCUUGCCAAACCAUAGUUCAUACGGUGUCGUCUCAACAGAUUUAGACGGUGCCCUAUUUAACGUGAAUGUAGCUGUCUCUAAUGCAUAACCCCAAAGUUAUAGUGGUAAAUAGAUAAGAGACAUCAUAGAUUGCACUAUAUCCAAUAAAGUACGUUUAUGACGUUCGGACACUCCAUUAUGUUGUGGUAUUCCAGGUGGCAUGAGUUUGUGAAACUAUUCCACAUUGUUUGAAUUGAACGCCAAACUAGUAACUCAAAUAUUAGCCUCUGCGAUCAGAUCGUAGAAACUUUAUUUUCUUGUUACGAUGAUUUUCCACUUCACUCUGAAAUUCUUUGAACUUUUCAAAUGUUUCAGACUUAUGUUUCAUUAAGUAGAUAUACCCAUAUCUGCUCAAAUCAUCUGUGAAGGUCAGAAAAUAAUGAUACCCGCCGCGAGCCUCAACACUCAUUGGACCGCAUACAUCGGUAUGUAUUAUUUCCAAUAAGUUAGUGGCUCGCUCCAUUGUUCCGGAGAACGGACUCUUUAGUCAUCUUGCCCAAGAGGCAUGGUUCGCAAGCAUCAAGUGAUUCAAAAGCCCAUCAGCAUGGAGUUUCUUCAUGCGCUUUACACCAAUAUGACCUAAACGGCAGUGCCACUAGUACAUUGCACUAUCAUUAUCAACUUAGCAUCUUUUGGCAUCAACAUUAUGAAUAUGUGUAUCACUACGAUCGAGAUUCAAUAAACCAUUCACCUUGGGUGUAUGACCAUAGAAGGUUUUAUUCAUGUAAACAGAAUAACAAUUAUUCUUAGACUUAAAUGAAUAACCGUAUUGCAAUAAACAUGAUCCAAUCAUAUUAUGCUCAACGCAAACACCAAAUAACAUUUAUUUUAGGUUCAACACUAAUCCCGAAGGUAAAGGGAGUGUGCGAUGGUGAUCUUAUCAACCUUGGAAUCACUUCCAACACACAUCGUCACCUCGCCCUCAACUAGUCUCUGUUCAUUUUGUAACUCAUGUUUUAAGUUACUAAUCAUAGCAACUGAACCAGUAUCAAAUACCCAGGGGUUACUAUGAACACUAGUAAAAUACACAUCAAUAACAUGUAUAUCAUAUAUACUUUUGUUCACUUCGCCAUCCUUCUUAUCCGCCAAAUACUUGGGGCAGUACCGCUUCCAGUGACCAGUCCCUUUGCAGUAGAAGCUCUCAGUCUCAGGCUUAGGUCUAGCUUUGGGCUUCUUCAUGGGAGUGGCAACUUGCUUUCCAUUCUUCUUGAAGUUCCCUUUAUUUCCCUUUCCCUUUUACUUGAAACUAGUGGUCUUGUCAACCAUCAACACUUGAUGCUUUUCUUGAUUUCUACCUUCGUUGAUUUCAGCAUCGCGAAGAGCUCGGGGAAUCGUUUUCGUCAUCCCUUGCAUAUUAUAAUUCAUCACGAAGUUCCAGUAACUUGCUGAUAGUGACUAGAGAACUCUGUCAAUCACUAUCUUAUCUGGAAGAUUAACUCCCACUUGAUUCAAGCGAUUGUAGUACUCAUACAUUCUGAGCACAUGCUUAUUGGUUGAGCUAUUCUCCUCCAUCUUGUAGGCAAAGUACUUGUCAGAGGUCUCAUACCUCUCGACUCGAGCAUGAGUCUGAAAUACCAAUUUCAGCUCUUGGAACAUCUCAUAUGCUCCGUGAUAUUUCAAAACAUUUUUGAAGUCCCGGUUCUAAGCCGUAAAGCAUGGUGCACUAAACUAUCAAGUAGUAAUCAUACCGAGCUUGUCAAACGUUCAUAACGUCUGCAUCUGCUCCUGCAAUAGUUCUGUCACCUAGCGGUGCAUCAAGGACAUAAUUCUUCUGUGCAGCAAUGAGGAUAAUCCUCAGAUCACGGACCUAGUCCGCAUCAUUGCUACUAUCAACUUUCAACUUAGUUUUCUCUAGGAACAUAUCAUAAAUAAAAUGGGGAAGCUAUACGCAAGCAAUUGAUCUACAACAUAGAUAUGCAAAUACUAUCAGGACUGAGUUCAUGAUAAAUUUAAGUUCAAUUAAUCAUAUUACUUAAGAACUCCCACUUAGAUAGACAUCCCUCUAGUCAUCUAAAUGAUCACGUGACCCAUAUCAACUAAACCAUGUCCGAUCAUCACGUGAGAUGGAGUAGCUUUCAAUGGUGAACAUCACUAUGUUGAUCAUAUCUACUAUAUGAUUCACAUUCGACCUUUCAGUCUCAGUGUUCCGAGGCCAUAUCUGCAUAUGCUAGGCUCGUCAAGUUUAACCCGAGUAUUUUGCGUGUGCAAAACUGGCUUGCACCCGUUGUAUGUGAACGUAGAGCUUAUCACACCAGAUCAUCAUGUGGUGUCUCAGCACGAAGAACUGUCGCAAUGGUGCAUACUCAGGGAGAACACUUAUACCUUGAAAUUUUAGUAAGGGAUCAUCUCAUAAUGCUACCGUCGUACUAAGCAAAAUAAGAUGCAUAAAAGAUAAACAUCACAUGCAAUCAAAAUAUGUGACAUGAUAUGGCCAUCAUCAUCUUGUGCCUUCGAUCUCCAUCUCCAAAGUACCGUCAUGAUCUCCAUCGUCACCGGCAUGACACUAUGAUCUUCAUCAUCUUGAUCUUUAUCAACGUGUCGUCACAUGGUUGUCUCACCAACUAUUGCUUUUGCAACUAUUGCUAUCGCAUAGCGAUAAAGUAAAGAAAUUAUAUGGCGCUUGCAUCUUAUGCAAUAAAGAGACAACCAUAAGGCUCCUCCCAGUUGCCGAUAACUUCAACAAAACAUGAUCAUCUCAUACAAAAAUUUAUAUCUCAUCACGUCUUGACCAUAUCAUAUCACAUCACAACAUGCCCUGCCAAAACAAGUUAGACGUCCUCUACUUUGUUGUUGCAAGUUUUACGUGGCUGCUACGGGCUUCUAGCAAGAACCGUUCUUACCUACGCAUCAAAACCACCAUGAUUUUUUGUCAACUGUGCUGUUUUAACCCUCAACAAGGACCGGGCAUAGUCAAACUCGAUUCAACUAAAGUUGGAGAAACAGACACCCGCCAGCCACCUAUGUGCAAAGCACGUCGGUAGAACCAGUCUCAUGAACGUGGUCAUGUAAUGUCGGUCCGGGCCGCUUCAUCCAACAAUACCUCCGAAUCAAAGUAAGACGUUGCUGGUAAGCAGUAUGACUAUUAUCACCCACAACUCUUUGUGUUCUACUCGUGCAUAUAACAUCUACGCAUAGACCUGGCUCAGAUGCCACUGUUGGGGAACGUAGUAUUUCAAAAAUUUCCUACGAUCACGCAAGAUCUAUCCAGGAGAAGCAUAGCAACGAGCGGGGAGAGUGUGUCCACGUACCCUCGUAGACCGAAUGUGGAAGCGUUUAGUAACACGGUUGAUGUAGUCGAACGUCUUCGCGAUCCAACCGAUCCAAGUACCGAAUGUACGGCACCUCCGCAUUCAGCACACGUUCAGCUCGAUGACGUCCCUCGAUCUCUUGAUCCAGUUGAGGAUGAGGGAGAGUUUUGUCAGCACGACGACCUGGCGAUAGUGAUGAUGAAGUUACUGGCGCAGGGCUUCGCCUAAGCACUACGACGAUAUGACCGAGGUGUGUAACUGUGGAGGGGAGCACCGCACAAGGCUAAGACAAUUUUCUGUUGUGUCUUUGGUGUGCCCCCUGCCCCCGUAUAUAAAGGAGGGGAGGAGGAGGCCGGCCAACAAGGGGCGCGCCAGGGAGAGGGGAGUCCUACUAGGACUCCAGUCCUAGUAGGAUUCGGCCCCACCCUUUUUUCCUUCUACCGGAGGGGGAAAAGGGGAAGGAGAGGGGGUAGGAGAAGGAAAGCGGGUGUGAAAGGAUCGAGAAGAGGUGUCUAGAGGGGGCUGAAUAGACUCUUAACAAGAAAAAGUUGCAGUUUUUAUUUUCUUCAAGUUGAGGUAGAGUUUUAGCACAAGUUUAAACAUUCACAAUACAUAUCAAGCAAGCAUGACAAGAGUAUAUGAGCAGCGGAAAGUAAAGCAUGCACUUUGCAAGAAUGUAAAGGGAUGGGAUUGGAGUGUGCAAACGCAAUUGAAGAAACGGAGAUUUUUGGCGUGGUUCCGAUAGGUGGUGCUAUCGUACAUCCACGUUGAUGGAGACUUCAACCCACGAAGGGUAAUGGUUGCGUGAGUCCACGGAGGGCUCCACCCACGAAGGGUCCACGAAGAAGCAACCUUGUCUAUCCCACCAUGGCCAUCGCCCACGAAGGACUUGCCUCACUAGGGUAGAUCUUCACGAAGUAGGCGAUCUCCUUGCCCGUACAAACUCCUUGGUUCAACUCCACAAUCUUGACGGAGGCUCCCAAGUGACACCUAACCAAUCUAGGAGACACCACUCUCCAAAAGGUAAUAGAUGGUGUGUUGAUGAUGAACACCUUGCUCUUGUGCUUCAAAUGAUAGUCUCCCCAACACUCAAAUCUCUCUCACAGAUUUGGAUUUGGUGGAAAGAUGAUUUGAGUGGAAAGCAAGUUGGAGAAGGCUAGAGAUCAAGAUUCAUAUGGUUGGAAUGGAAUAUCUUGACCUCAACACAUGAGUAGGUGGUUCUCUCUUAGAAAAUGUAUGAUGGAAGUGUAGGCAUGUUUUGAUGGCUCUCCUCGCGAAUGAAGAGUGGGUGGAGGGGUAUAUAUAGCCUCCACACAAAAUCUAACCAUUACACACAAAUCACCAAACUCGGUGGGACCGAAUCAGAAAACUCGGUCAGACCUAUUCAGUUCAUAAUGUGACAUUAGGCAUUUCGGUGGGACCGAUAUUAUCAACUCGGUGGGACCGAUGUGCUAGGGUUAGGGUAAAACCUCAUCUCGGUUUGACCGAUUACACAAACUCACUGGGACCGAUUUUGGUAAAGAGCUAUUGCAAAUAAACUCGGUGAGACCGAUUGCAAAUCUCAGUGGGACCGAAAUAAAUGCAAUAGGCACCAGAGAGUUUGCAAGCCCAUCUCGGUGAGACCGGGAUCCCAUCGGUGAGACCGAAUUGAUUAGGGUUUGUGGAAGUGGCUAUGUCAAAUGAACUCGGUGGCGCCGGAUAGAAAGUUUCGGUGGGGCCGAGUUUGACUUUUGGUUUGGGACAUAUGUGGAUAUUAUAAAGUGGUUGAGGGUUUUGGAGCAUGUCACUAAGAACUUUGAGCAAUUAAGCCAUUAAGCAACACAUCACCCCCUUUUAAUAGUAUUGGCUUUCCUAUGGACUCAAUGUGAUCUUGGAUCACUAAAAGUAAAAUGUAGAGUCUUGAGCUUUUGAUCCUGAGCCAAUCCUUUGUCCUUAGCAUCUUGAAGGGGUUCCACAUCCUCUUGUCCACGCCACUCCAUCUGUUGAACUUGUCUGAAAUACACUAGAUGAAAACAUUAGUCCAACAAGAGAUAUGUUGUCAUCAAUUACUACAAAACCACCCAGGGAGCACUUGUGCUUUCAAUCUCCCCCUUUUUGGUAAUUGAUGACAAUAUACAUCAAAGCUUUAGGUAAAGAUAAAGAGAAUAGCAAGUAAAGCUUUGGAAGGACAUCUAACAUGCAUAGGCUCCCCCUACAUGUAUGCAAUCAUGUAAAUAAGGAAUAUAAGAGCAUGUGAAAGCAUAGACAUGACAGAGCAAGCAAUGAGUUACAUGUAUCUUGGCUAUAUGCAUCAGAGCAAAUAAUAUGAGUAUAUGAAGUGUAACCUCAUGUUCAUGAUUCCUUCUUGCAAACAAUAUGCACACUAGCAAGAAAUCUUCAUGCACAUGAGUGUGAUGCAUAUACUUACCUUGUGGUCUUGAGCUGGCUUAGGAAGGGAUGAACCUGAGUAAACAAGGUUAGAUAACACAGAUACAUCUUCUAGACAGAGCAACAAAAGAGCCACAAGAGUACCAAGAUUGGGAUAACAUGUAGAGAGUGAGUACUGGGUACUCUAUUGAAUACAAACAUGUUCCCAAAGGUAAAAUAUAUGCAAUGAAUCCAAAGACUUCCUUCCCUAGCAGUCUUUCUCCCCCUGAAUCUUAUAUUGGAUAAUGGAAGAAAGUAGGGAAACAGAAUCAGAGCAGAACAAAAACAGAUCAGAUCACAGAGACAUAAUAUAGACAUGCCUUUCCCCUCUUAAAGACAUGUGACUUCUCUCCGCUUGAACACCAAGCAUCUGGGGCAUGUGAUUCCUCUCUCCCCCUGUUUUAAGCAUUCUCUCAUUAAGCUUUGAUGUGAACUCUCUCUCCCCCUUUGAUAUCAAUUUCCAAGAAGGGAUCUUCUGGAGUGUGAGUCAAAAUAGGUUUGGUCCUUGAGUCACAGAGCAAAGCAGCAUAUAAAAUGUGAUGCUGGUAGAGGACAAGAAUCAUUGAGUGGAGCUGGAACAAAAGUGCAGGAACAAGUGGCAAAUUGUCUUUUCUGCAGUGAAAUUGGUGACACCGAAUUGUGUCCUUCGGUUGGAUCAAAAGUGACAAACCGGUGGGACCGAGUUCAACACAGAAAAGGAGCAAUAGUCACCUCAGCUCACUAGGCAAAUAAGAUCUCACAAAGAUUUGCAAGGAAUUAACUAAAGGAUUUGCAAUGAAUUGGAUGCAAGAAAUGCAGAACAAAACAGAGAAAAGAAAAAUCUAGAUGAAGUUUUUUUUUGAAAAGAAGGGGAACAAAAUGCAAGGAACAAAUGCACGAACUUAUAGAAACACUAGAGAACUUCAUCUAGAAUUGGGCGGUGACAAAGUCACCUGUGUUAGAGUAUAUUGACUAAGGAGUCAAGUGAGAACACUUGAUCAUAAGUCAUACUCAUCGUUUAGGCUCAAAAUGGGGUUACCAUUUUUCGUUUAAGCAUUUGAUUUAUUCUCAUCUUGUUGAGUUGCUUUGACCCAUGUCUUGGGGUAAAGCUUCUCUAAGAUGGAAUAACAUACCUUGGGUGGUGGUGUUGAUCUUGAUCAUGUAGUUGAACUUGUGUGAGUUGCUCAAGGUUGAUGUAGCUCAUCAAGAAUUGGGAGCACCACUUGGAUUUGAAUUCAUCUACCUACAUGGGUUAGUCUUGCAAGGAAGAGCACUUGUGCAUCCAAAAUGACAAUCAUGAAAUUUGAUACCAAAUGAAAUUUGAUAUAGAGAAUUUUUCAAAGAAUGUAUUGAAGGGUUUCAUGCUUCCUUGUCUUCAACCACCACGGUGUAGGGACUUGGUGAUGUAGAGACUGAGGGAGUCCUGGAUUAGGGGGUCCUCGGACAGCCGGACUAUAUACUUUGGCCGGACUGUUGGACUAUGAAGAUACAAGAUUGAAGACUUCGUCUCGGGUCCGGAUGGGACUCACCUUGGCAUGGAAGGCAAGCUUGGCAGUACGGAUAUGUAGAUCUCCUCCCUUGUAACCGACUCUGUGUAACCCUAGCCCCCUGCGGUGUCUAUAUAAACCGGAGGGUUUAGUUUGUAGGACAACAACAAUCAUACCAUAGGCUAGCUUCUAGGGUUUAGCCUCCACGAUCUCGUGGUAGAUCAACUCUUGUAAUACUCAUAUCAUCAAGAUCAAUCAAGCAGGAAGUAGGGUAUUACCUCCAUCGAGAGGGCCCGAACCUGGGUAAACAUCAUGUCCCCCACCUCCUGUUACCAUCCGCCUUAGACGCACAGUUCGGGACCCCCUACCCGAGAUCCGCCGGUUUUGACACCGACAUUGGUGCUUUCAUUGAGAUUCCCACUGUGCCAUCACCGUAAGGUUAGAUGGCUCCUUCGAUCAUCGGCAACGAUGCGAUCCAGGGUGAGGUUUUCCUCCCCGGACAGAUCUUCGUAUUCAGAGGCUUCGUACUGCGGGCCAACUCGCUUGGCCAUCUGGAGCAGAUCGAGAGCUACGCCCCUGGCCAUCAGGUCAGGUUUGGAAACUUGAACUAUACUGCCGACAUCCGCGGAGACUUGAUCUUCGACGGAUUCGAGCCCAUGUCAGGUGCGCCGCACAAUCACGGCGAGCAUGAUUUAGCUCUGCCGUCGGACAGUGUUCGGGAGAUUACACCUGCAACUACUCCGGCCCUUAAUCCGGAAAAAAUUGCGCCAUCCGACGAUGGGUGGAUGGACCCCGCCACGAAGGCCGCACACUCAGUGGUGAUAGAGCCGAAUGCUGACUUCACCUCCUACGAGACCCGUGUUGCCGAACCGUUGGAUUCGUCCCCGGCCAUGGGCUCCGAGCCGCCUACAUCCGUGCCUAUCGAAUCCGAUUGGGCACCGAUCAUGGAGUUUACCUCCGCGGAUAUCUUUCAGCACUCGCCCUCUAGUGACGUGCUAAACUCGUUGAGGUCUCUCUCCCUGACAGGAGACCCUUGGCCGAACUAUGUCCGGCCAGAAUGGAAUGCAGACGAUGAAGAAAUUCGCUCCCCACCCACCACCCACUUAAUAGCCACUGUCGACGAUUUAACUGACAUGCUCAAUUUCGACUCCGAAGACAUCGACGGUAUGGACAACGAUGCAGGAGAGGAACAGGAACCACCGCCCACAGGGCGCUGGACAGCCACUAUAUCACACGAUAUAUAUAUGGUGGAUACACCCAUAGAAAACAAUGACGAGGAACGGAAGGAUGCAGUGAAGGAUAGCCCCCUCGAGAAGCAACCAAAGCGACGGCAUAGGCGCCGCUCCAAAUCCCGCCUCGGCAGGAACAGCGAUAACAGCGCAAGAAAAAAUAACAACCCGGUCGACUCCAGAGGAAAUGACGACCACAUUGACCCAGCGACAGAACAGGAUGAACCAGCGGACGGCGAACAUAGUACGGAGCCGCUGUCCGAUCACGGCUACGCCGAGGAUAAAGCUCAUCAACCUCUCUCCGGAGAGGAAAACAGUCCGGACGACAAUGCACACAUCAUCUCGGAAAGGCACUUGGAACAAGAGAACCUGCGUAGAAGGCUUAUUGCCACCGCGAGGAGUCUGAAGAAGCAGAAGCAAAGGCUUAAGGCCGCGCAGAAUACGCUCAACAGUAGAUGGAAAAAAGUGCUUGACACUGAAGAAAAGUAUGGCGGCGGUCGCCACACAAAGAGCUAUCCAAAGCGCAAGCUGUUGCCUGAAUUUGAUGAUGAGGCCUUAGAGCCCACACAGCUGAUACGUCUCCAACGUAUCUAUAAUUUUUGAUUGCUCCAUGCUAUAUUAUCUUCUGUUUUGGACAUUAUUGGGCUUUAUUAUUCACUUUUAUAUUAUUUUUGGGACUAACCUAUUAACCGGAGGCCCAGCCCAGAAUUGUUGUUUUUUGCCUAUUUCAGAGUUUCGCAGAAAAAGAAUAUCAAACAGACUCCAAACAGAAUGAAACCUUCGGGAACGUGAUUUUCGGAAUGAACAUGAUCCAGGAGACUUGGACCCUACGUAAGAGAAGCUUCCAGGAGGCCACGAGGUAGGGGGCGAGCCUACCCGCCCCAGGCGCGCACUCCACCCUCGUGGGCCCCCUGUUGCUCCACCGACGUACUCCUUCCUCCUAUAUAUACCUACGUACCCCCAAACGAUCAGAUACGGAGCCAAAAACCUAAUUCCACCGCCACAACCUUCUGUACCCACGAGAUCCCAUCUUGGGGCCUGUUCCGGAGCUCCGCCGGAGGGGGCAUCCAUCACGGAGGGCUUCUACAUCAACACCAUAGCCUCUCCGAUGAAGUGUGAGUAGUUUACCUCAGACCUUCGGGUCCAUAUUUAUUAGCUAGAUGGCUUCUUCUCUCUUUUUGGAUCUCAAUACAAUGUUCUCCCCCUCUCUCGUGGAGAUCUAUUCGAUGUAAUCUUCUUUUGCGGUGUGUUUGUUGAGAUCGAUGAAUUGUGGGUUUAUGAUCAAGUUUAUCUAUGAACAAUAUUUGAAUCUUCUGAAUUCUUUUAUGUAUGAUUGGUUAUCUUUGCAAGUCUCUUCGAAUUAUCAGUUUGGUUUGGCCUACUAGAUUGAUCUUUCUUGCAAUGGGAGAAGUGCUUAGCUUUGGGUUCAAUCUUGCGGUGUCCUUUCCCAGUGACAGUAGGGGCAGCAAGGCACGUAUAGUAUUGUUGCCAUCGAGGAUAACAAGAUGGGGUUUUUAUCAUAUUGCAUGAAUUUAUCCCUCUACAUCAUGUCAUCUUGCUUAAGGCGUUACUCUGUUCUUAUGAACUUAAUACUCUAGAUGCAUGCUGGAUAGUGGUCGAUGUGUGGAGUAAUAGUAGUAGAUGCAGGCAGGAGUCGGUCUACUUGUCUCGGACGUGAUGCCUAUAUACAUGAUCAUACCUAGAUAUUCUCAUAACUAUGCUCAAUUCUAUCAAUUGCUCAACAGUAAUUUGUUCACCCACCGUAAAAUACUUAUGCUCAUGAGAGAAGCCACUAGUGAAACCUAUGGGCCCCGGGUCUAUCUUCAUCAUUUAAUCUUCCAACACUUAGUUAUUUCCGUUGCAUUUUACUUUGCUUUUAUUUUACUUUGCAUCUCUAUAAAAAAAAUACCAAAAAUAUUAUCUUAUCAUAUCUAUCAGAUCUCACUCUCGUAAGUGACCGUGUAGGGAUUGACAACCCCUUAUUGCGUUGGUUGUGAGGAUUUAUUUGUUUUGUGUAGGUGCGAGGGACUCGUGCGUAGCCUCCUACUGGAUUGAUACCUUGGUUCUCAAAAACAGAGGGAAAUGCUUACGCUACUUUGCUGCAUCACCCUUUCCUCUUCAAGGGAAAACCAACGCUGUGCUCAAGAGGUAGCAAGAAGGAUUUCUGGCGCCGUUGCUGGGGAGGUCUACGCAAAAGUAAACAUACCAAGUACCCAUCACAAACCCUUAUCUCCCGCAUUACAUUAUUUGCCAUUUGCCUCUCGUUUUCCUCUCCCCCACUUCACCCUUGUCGUUUGAUUCGCCCUCUCUUUUUUGCUUGCUUCUUGUUUGCUCGUGUGUUGGAUUGCUUGCUUGUCACGAUGGCUCUACCUAGAUUUGGUGAUCUUCACCUAAAAGGUUACAAGAGAUCGAAAGCAACAUUAGGAGUUUUAUGGUUUUGCAAUUUGAGCAUAAUAAUUUCUUCAGAAACGAGCUUAAGGAACAAAAAAGCUUUAUGAGUUAUAUGAAUAAAGAGCUCGGUGAUAUGUCUAAAGAAUUUGAUUGUCUGAGAUCCCAAAUUGCUCAUCUUGAGAAGUUGAUAGCUGAAAUAUCAGAUAAGCAGGCUACCUUAGUUAAUAAGAUGGCCGCUAAACUGGAUUUCUAUGAAAAUAAAGAUGAAGAUCUAAAAGUUAUUGAUGUGUCCCCUAUUAAAACUUUGUUUUGCAAUAUGAAUCUUGAUAAUGAUGGGACUGAAUAUGAUCUACCUUUACCUAGAAGGCGUUCCAAAAAUUCGGAGUUUUUAGAUCUUGAUGCUAAAAUUGAUAAAAGUGGGAUUGAAGAUAUCAAAACCUUAGAUGUUAAUAAACCCAAUAUUUUGGAUUUCAAGGAAUUUAAUUAUGAUAAUUGCUCUUUGAUAGAUUGUAUUUCCUUGUUGCAAUCCGUGCUAAAUUAUCCUCAUGCUUAUAGUCAAAAUAAAGCUUUUACCAAACAUAUCGUUGAUGCUUUGAUGCAAUCUUAUGAGGAAAAACUUGAGUUGGAAGUUUCUAUCCUGUAGCGACCCGACUCGUUAAGAGUCGAAGUCUCUGUGCUUACCGUGCUAGUCCCUGGAUCGACUUGCUAGCACACACAGUACUCGAUGAAAUAACAGAAAUAACACACAUCUCUUUAUUACAUCGAUAGUCCAGGAGCCAUACAUUUAUUACAAAAUAGGGCAUAGAGCCAAUAAACAAAUACUGUGGAAGCAAAGUAGUAAAUGAGUCCAACUCCACGAGCAAGGUUGAGUGUAGAACAUCGACCUAUCGCACCUUAAUCCUCGUCGGAUAUAUCUGCAACGUGAUAAGUUGUAGCCAUAUAGGUCAGUACAUUGAAUGUACUGGCAAGUCACAUCAUAAGUGUAAAGAACCUACAUGUACAUGCAAUUUGGCUGGUGGAAAGCUCUAAGUUUAGUUUUUUGCAUAAAGCUAGUUUUUCCCUAUUAGGAAAGAUGUUAUUCUACUACUACACAUUUGCAUAGGAUGAGUUGGCAAACCCAACUCCAUCCGUUCCCAAGUUUCAUUUAAAACCCAACUGUUUAAUUAAAGGUGAGGAGAUCUCCCGGCAUUUUCACUACUAGAUGCUCAAGUUGUCCGUAACCGGGGACACGGCUAAUCGAUUAGGUUGACACUCUGCAGAGGUUGCACACUUUUCCCCACAACACUCGACCACCUCCAUGAUCGGAAGAUCGAGACAUAGUCUUUCGAAAAUGUUCCCCCUUAACCCACGGAUAGGCCGGUACACCUACAUCAUUCUACAUCUGCUAGCCCAUCCCGGAAGGGGUCACACUAACUACUCAACUAAGCCAGAGCCUAUAUUGGCUUGUGGCUGCACACAUAAGCUUCUAGACAUGAGAAUACGAUUGAUCUCUUUGAGCCUGAGCGGACGGUCCACUAGUGGUGCACCACCAUGGAUUCCCCAUGCGUGCCCCACUGUACUUCGCCACCAUUCCAACAAGUUUCCGCCCAGGUAGUUCAUUAAUUAUAUUAGGUCCUAUUUACUACAUUGUCACUCAUACUUUACAACGAUUACUCCCCAAUCCACGUCUACUUAGCGAAGCAACAUAAUGUAAAACGAUGGCGACAAUGUUAUAAGGUUCAGACCUACCUCAAUGAACUACUGCGUGAAAAGCAUAGUCAUGCGGCAUCAAUUCCUACCAUGCAGUCCUACCGCAAAGAACUAAGUGCAAACAAAACAUAGUUAGUGAAACAUGAUCAAGAUGCAACUUGCCUUGGUACUGCUGGUUGAAUUCUAAAGACUGAUAAUAUUCUGCUUCGCACUCCGGGCAAUCUAGCACAAAGAAGAUAAACAAACAUAAGCAAACAUUUCAGAGAACCAAGAAGAACAUGCAAAGCAAAAAGUCUCGGAAAAACCAAAUGAACAAACAACACACUUAACUAGCACAAAAAUAUUCUAAGUGCAAAACCACAUGGGCCUCUGGUUCAAGAAGUGAUGUGAACUAUAGUGCAUACUAUGCAUACUAGUAAAAAUAUUAAUGGAUAGAUUCUAGUGUGUGAAAAUUAUUGUGACAAAGGUCCAGGUGAUAGGGUUUGGCUACGGUGACAAAGUGCAAAAAGAAUCAACUUAAUCGGAGCUUCGGUUUGGGAGAUAUGGUCAUUUGAACUUCGAAUUCGAAUCUGAAUAAAUUAAAAUUUGAAUCAGACAAAAGUUUACAAAAGGAUACCACUGGAUAGAUCUAAACAUGACGAACAAUUUGCCGCUGGUUUCAUCGAGUUUGGAUCUACGGUUAAAAAGUUCUGGCUACUCGAAGUUCAGGGACUAAUCUGCUAAUUAUAGGGACUAAACAGAGAAGAAAACUAUCACAACCAAGUCCCUAGCCACGUGGCGGCUCCUGGCUGGCCGAGCAGCGUCUGCUGCGAAGGCUAUACAGCGAACGGCCGCUAAAUAGAAAAAAAACAACGGCGACGGCUAACUAAAGAAAAACCGACGCUCGGUUUAAAUAAAAUCGCAUGGUCUAAGGGAACCGCGGUUAACCGCGUAUCUCUUCGCAAAAUAAAAAAAAUGAACCUAAUCUAAUCUGGGCCGUCGGUGAUCGAUCUAACGGGCGGGAGUGGGGCGGCGGCUUACAGCGGCUGGCGACGUCGGUGACGAGCAGAGGACGGCGGCGCGGCGUCGGGCGGUAGAGGGGCAGCGGCUACGGCAGUCCUCGGCGUCGGGGAAGAAGACGGGGAGGUGCGGCGCGGCGUGGGCGUCCGGAUGGUGGCGUCAGGGCUCCUCAGGGGCGUCGGGGAUCGGCGAGACGAAGGCGGCGGCGCUCCGUGGGCUCCGGCGAGGUCGGGUGUCGUCUCCGGCGAGACCUAGGCGAGGAAAAGGUGUCAAAAAGACGAGCAAGUUCACGGUGGCACGAUUGACGAAGGAACAGGGGCUCGGGGUGGUUUACUGGCAGCGGAAUGCUCCGGCGAGGUCCGUUCGGCCGGUGAGAUCCAAGCGGCGACUGCGGGCGGUAGGAGAGGCAUGGGAAGAAGUGGGACGGCGAGGAUGGAAGAGGGGGUUCAGGGGCAUUUAUAGGCGCGGUCAGGAGCUCUACGAAGCUGCAGAUAAGCCUCAUCCGCGAGGGAGCCGAGCGGCGGUUGCGGGAGCUUGGUGAGGAUGUUUAUCCCGCGGGCUGCAGGAGGUUGGGGACGGCCUGACGGGCGGGGCCCGCCUGGCAGUGGCAGCGAGAGGAGGCGAGCGAGGGCGGGCGCGGAGCGGUUGACCGGUGCGGGAGGCGUCGGGCGCUGGGGUGCUGGGGCGCUGGCCUUGGGCCAAAUGGCCAGCUGGGCCGGUUGAGGCGCUCCUAGGCCGAACCCAGUUUCGGUCCAGGCUGCGGUGAGUGCGUGCGUGUGUUUUUUUUAAACCAAAGACUAAAGUGGCCCUAAACAAUUCAAAUGAAAUAAUAAAAACAGCACAAUAAUUUCUAAAAUAACUAUACAAUAUUUAGAACCUAAUGAACAUUAACUUAAGCACAUAACAUUUUGAAAAUAUUUUGCUAAUGCAAUUAAUGCAUUUUUGCCAAUAAAAUAAAUACCAAUAAACUCCAAAACUUCAAAUAAUAUUCAAAAUAAAAUUUCCCACUCUUUUAUAAAUUUGAGGAAGUCAUCUUAUCCCCUCUCAUUUGUUUUUCUUGAGUGGAAAAAUAUUAUUUGAAUAUUUCAAAAACUCCAAAAUGCAAAGAAAUAUGAUAUGCAUUGAAUGAUUCUAUUAACAUCCAAAUUUAAUAAAAAUUGGGAUGCUACAAACCUACCCCCCUUAAGAUGAAUCUCGUCCUCGAGAUUCGGGUUGGCCAGCAAAAAUGUGUGGAUGGUCCUGUCUAAGAUCCUCCUCUCGUUCCCAAGUGGCUUCCUCCUCGGUGUGGUGACUCCACUGAACCUUGCAGAACUUGAUGAUCUUGGUACGAGUGAUUCUCUCUGCAGUCUCAAGAAUCUUAAUAGGAUUCUCCUCAUAAGUCAGAUCAUUUUCCAACUGAAUUGCCUCCCGUGGCACUGUAUCUCUCAAAGGAAUGUCCGCCAUCUCUGCAUGACACUUCUUCAGCUGGGAAACAUGAAACACAUCAUGAACUCCCGACAAAGCCUCUGGUAAUUCCAGCUGGUAUGCAACCUCUCCUCUACGUUCAGAACUCUGUAUGGUCCCACAAACCGUGGUGCUAACUUUCCUUUGACUCCAAAUCUCUUAAUACCUCGAAGUGGAGACACUCGAAGAUAUGCUCUAUCUCCCACUUCAUAGAUCACUUCCUUGCGUUUAGCAUCGGCAUAACUUUUCUCCCUUGACUGAGCUAUCUUAAGUCUGUCACGAAUCAACUUAACCUUCUCCUCAGAAUCCCUAAUCAAAUCAGGUCCAAAUAAUUUGCGAUCUCCAACUCCAUCCCACAUCAAAGGUGUCCUGCAUUUCCUGCCAUACAAUGCCUCGAAAGGGGCCAUCUGCAAACUGGCUUGGUAGCUGUUGUUGUACGAGAACUCUGCGUAGGGUAAGUUAUCAUCCCAACUAGACCCAUAGUCUAGCGCACAAGCUCUCAGCAUGUCCUCCAGAAUUUGAUUGACUCUCUCUGUCUGCCCAUCAGUCUGUGGAUGGAAGGCUGUACUGAACUCUAGCCUGGUACCCAAAGUUUCAUGCAACUGAUUCCAAAACUUUGAGGUAAACUGUGUUCCUCUAUCUGAUACGAUGCUCCUCGGAACUCCAUGCAGACAUACGAUCCUGGUCAUAUAUAUCUUUGCCAGCUUAGCACUUAUGUAUAGGUGGUCUUCACUGGAAUGAAGUGAGCAACCUUGGUCAAACGAUCCACUAUCACCCAAAUGGAAUCAUAACCUGAACGGGUCCUGGGUAACCCCGUGAUAAAGUCCAUACCAAGUUUAUCCCAUUUCCAAUCAGGUAUCGGCAACGGCUGAAGUAAACCUGCUGGUUUCUGAUGCUCCGCCUUUACUCUCUGACAUACAUCACAUAUUGCCACAUACUCGGCAAUCUCUCUCUUCAUACCGGCCCACCAAAAACUUUCCUUCAAGUCCAAGUACAUCUUGGUGUUGCCUGGGUGUAUCGAAUAUGGUGAGUCAUGAGCCUCCUGAAGAAUCAACUUCCUGAUCUCCGGGUCAUUGGGUACGCAAAUCCGUUGCUCAAACCAUAUGAUUCCAUUUUCAUCCUCACGGAAUCCUUCUGCUUUCCCUUUGCUCAUCAUCCCCUUUAUCUCAUAAAUACCUUGGUCCAACUUCUGGGCCUCUCUGAUUCUUCCCAACAAGGUGGACUGUACCUCGAGUGCGGCAACAUAACCUCUUGGAACCAUUUCCAACUGGAGAUCUCUAAGUUCAUCACAUAACUCCUGAGGUAAACCUCCUGCUGUAAGGGUAUUAACAUAACUCUUACGGCUCAAAGCAUCCGCCACAACAUUGGCUUUUCCUGGAUGAUAAUGAAGACUCAUGUCAUAAUCCUUUAUAAGUUCCAACCAUCUCCUUUGCCUGAGAUUCAACUCCUUCUGCGUGAAAAUGUACUUCAAACUCUUGUGAUCCGUGUAAAUAUCACAACGAUUCCCAAUAAGAUAGUGUCUCCAUGUCUUGAGCGCAUGCACUACGGCUGCCAACUCCAAAUCAUGUGUGGCAUAGUUCAACUCAUGAGGUCGAAGUUGUCGUGAAGCAUAAGCUACAACCUUUCCCUCUUGCAUAAGAACACCUCCAAGUCCCAGACGUGAAGCAUCACAAUACACCUGAAAGUCCUUGUGCACGUCAGGCAGGAUUAGCACUGGGGCUGUGACCAAACGCUUCUUCAACUCUUGAAAGCUGGCUUCACACUCUUCAGUCCAAACGAACUUGGUGUCCUUCUUCAACAACGCUGUCAUGGGCCUUGCAAUCUUGGAGAAAUUUUCAAUAAAUCUCCGGUAAUAUCCAGCAAGUCCAAGGAAACUACGAAUCUCGCCAACUGUGGUGGGUGCAUUCCAUUCUGUGAAUGACUCUACCUUGGUAGGGUCCACUGCAAUCCCUUCACCUGACACUACAUGUCCAAAGAAUCCGACUUCCUUGAGCCAAAACUCACACUUGCUGAACUUGGCAUAAAGUUGAUGUUCUCUGAGCUUCUCCAAAACUAAGCGCAGUUGUUCAGCGUGUUCCUCCUCAUUCUUGGAGAAAACCAAUAUGUCACCAAUGAAUACCACAACGAACUUAUCCAAGAACUCCAUGAACACCUUGUUCAUCAUGCUCAUAAAAUAAGCAGGGGCAUUAGUCAAACCAAAGGACAUGACUGUAUACUCAUAAAGCCCAUACCUUGUGGUAAAAGCGGUCUUGGGUAUAUCCUUCUCACGGAUCUUCAAUUGGUGAUAACCCGAUCGAAGAUCGAUCUUGGAGAAAACACUAGCUCCUUCUAGCUGGUCAAACAAGUCAUUGAUCAUCGGUAGGGGAUACUUGUUCUUGAUGGUCACCUCGUUCAAAGAGCGGUAAUCCACACACAUCCUCAAGGUUCCAUCCUUCUUCUCCGCUAAGAGUACUGGGGCUCCCCAAGGUGAUGAACUCGGGCGAAUAUACCCUUUCUCUAGCAACUCCUUAAUCUGUUUCUUGACUUCCUCCAAAUCAUUAGCGGGCAUCCGAUACGGCCUCUUGGAGAUAGGUCCUGUACCUGGCAGCAACUCAAUCAAAAACUCAAUCUCCCGAUCUGGCGGCAUACCCGGUAACUCCUCCGGAAAUACAUCGGGAUAAUCCUUCACCACUGGUACUUCUUCCUGGACAACUCCCGUAAGAGAGUUCACCUGAGUACUCUUAGGCUUAAGCCUAGAUACAUACUUGAUCCUCUUCUUCUCUGGGGUGGUGAGAAAAAUCGAUCUACUAGCACAAUCAAUGUUCCCCUCAUACUUGGACAUCCAAUCCAUCCCUAGGAUUACAUCCAACCCUUGCGACUCUAGCAUGAUCAUGUCUGUGGAAACAACAUGUCCCCCUAUGUUCAAAGGCAACUGGAAACAUCCCUGACUAGCCAUAGACUCGGCUCCUGGGGAACUCACUAGAAUGGGUGACUUAAGAGCUAUGGUAGGAAACUUAUGUUUAUCCACGAAUCCCCUUGAUAUGAAUGAAUGCGAUGCACCAGUGUCAAAAAGAAUGAGUGCUGGAAAUGAAUUAACCAAGAACUUACCAAUCACUGUGUCAGGCUGCUCAUAGACCUCCUCCACAUUGACAUGAUUCACAUGCCCAUUAGUGAAAGGAUUAGGCUUCUUGCCUCCAGAAUUCCCAUUUCCAUUCCCAUUCUGCUGCUCGGGACACUCAUUGGAGUAGUGCCCUGUCUUCUUGCAUUUGAAGCAAGUGAUGUGACUCAGAUCUUUCUUCAUUGGUGUAGAAGAGUUGAAAUGCUGCUGGUUGCCAUUCCCUCCAUUGCCAUUGCCAUUGCCAUUUCCAUGCUUGUGACCAUGGUGGUUGUGUCCAUUUCCUCCAUGCUGAAUGUGGCCUCCAUGGUUAUGAUGAUUCCCUCCAAACUUGCUAGUGCCUGAUCCAAAACUUCAUGAGUACGGGCUGUAGCGGGGUUUCUGUUGAACUCCAGAGUUAUACUUCCCGUGACCGUACUUCCUCUUACGAUUCUCCAUCUGUUGGUGCUUGCCUUCGAGAAUGGUAGCCUUAUCAACCAGCUCCUGAUAGUUUGCAAAGGUCGCCACAGUCAACUGAACUCCCAACUCAUCGUUCAGUCCCUCCAGAAACUUCUAUUGCUUUGCUGCAUCAGUGGCCACGUCCUCUGGGGCAUAACGGGCCAACUUACUGAACUCAUCAACAUACUGGGAUACCGUGCAUCCUCCCUGGCGCAAGCUGCGGAACUCCUUCUUCAGAAUCAUGGCUCCAGCUGAGACAUGAGCAGUGCGGAACGCCUGUUGGAACUGAGUCCAAGUCACACUCUCCAAGGGGUAUGUGGUGGUGUAGUUCUCCCACCAAGCAGCGGCCGGGCCAUCCAGCUGAUGGGCGGCAAACUUCACCUUCUCAGCAUCAUUGCAUCCUGUCGUGGCCAGCUCCCUUCCUAUCUUGCGGAGCCAGUCAUCUGCGACAAUCGGCUCCGUGCUGCUGGAGAACACGGGUGGGUUCAGCCUCAGAAAAUGGGUAAGACUGUCAACUAGGGGUGGCGGCGGUGGGUUGUUGUUGUUGUUGUUGUUGUUGUUGUUGUUGUUGUUCUGGUUCUGGUUCUGAAUGAGCAUCUGCAUAAGAGCAUUCUGCUGCUGGAUCAAUUGCGUGAGCUCCGGCGGAAAGUUGAAUCCGGGGUCACGUCUUGGAGGCAUCUGAUGGGUUUAGAGUGGAUGAGGAGUUAGAAUAGAAUGAGGCCUAGUGAGUAAAAUCACACUACCCAUAUGCACAUGAUAGCAAUAAAACUUCAAAUCACUCCAAUUCAAUUUCAAACAAAGAGGUUCACACAAAUAAUCAAUCCUAAGGUAAGCCAUGUCACAAGAUUUGACAAGGUCUUACAAAUGAAGUAAAACUAAUCGGAUAACGAAAUCGAAUUUCUAACUCUCAUGAUGGUAUAAAAUCUAACUCUCAUCGGAUGAAGACCAGUCAACCUUGUUGACAUCAGGUGUCCUUGCAUCACUGUCUGUGUCGUCAUCUCCAAGCUCAUCAUCCUGGUCCUUGUCCUGGCUGACGAAAUCUCCAUAAGAGUGAUCCUCCUGGAUGUUUUCUCCCUCAUCCAGCUUCUCCUCGGCCUCCUCAAGCUCAAGCUUCAGGUCGUCAAUCUUCUCCUGCAGUGCGUCCGGCUCUCCCUCAUGCUCGAUGCGAGCGUCCUAGAGUUCCUCCUCGAGAUCGGCCUUGCGAGUCAUGAGGUUCUUGAUGACGAUCAUGUUGUCAGACAGCUCCAGCUCCAUCAUACGAAUGUGAUCCUCCAUGUCCUGGAUAUGGGAUGCUAUCGUCUCGUCCUCCAGGGUAUGCACCACAUCUCCAUUUGCGUCGCGGAGUCCGUACAUCACGAAGGAGGUCUUCUUGAGGUCCUCGUCAUACUCCUCCCGAAUGCGUCCGAGAGCAAUGUGAGCAGCGAUGCCCCUGCCCAAGCCCCAUGUUGCAGUAUCCACAUGGAAAUCAAUGGGCUUGGUGCGGUUUCUGAGGAUGCGCCCGGGGAUAUGGGCAUCAAUCCUCCAACGCAUCUCCUCGGGCAAGGUGGCAGUGAAAGUUCCAGUGAAUGUGGGAAGCCCAAUCUUCAGGUGCUUCAUGAUCUUCAUCAGCUGUCGUCCAAAGGGCAUGGUCUCAUCAGGCUGCUCGAACUCGACAAUGGCGGAUGACAUCUACAUUUUGAAAGAGGGAAGAAAUUAGUAAUGAAGUAGAGAAGGUACGAGACCAAAGGAUAUAUAGGGAAAGUGAAAAAAUAUAGCUUUUUAUCCUAUGGUUUUUCCAUUUUCUAGGGGUUGCGUCCUACAGUCAACGUGUGAUCCGAUACCAUCUUGUAGCGACCUGACUCGUUAAGAGUCGAAGUCUCUGUGCUUACCGUGCUAGUACCUGGAUCGACUUGCUAGCACACACAGUACUCGAUGAAAUAACAGAAAUAACGCACAUCUCUUUAUUACAUCGAUAGUCCAGGAGCCAUACAUUUAUUACAAAAUAGGGCAUAGAGCCAAUAAACAAAUACUGCGGAAGCAAAGUAGUAAAUGAGUCCAAAUCCACGAGCAAGGUUGAGUGUAGAACAUCGACCUAUCCCACCUUAAUCCUCGUCGGAUAUAUCUGCAACGUGAUAAGUUGCAGCCAUAUAGGUCAGUACAUUGAAUGUACUGGCAAGUCACAUCAUAAGUGUAAAGAACCUACUUGUACAUGCAAUUUGGCUGGUGGAAAGCUCUAAGUUUAGUUUUUUGCAUAAAGCUAGUUUUUCCCUAUUAGGAAAGAUGUUAUUCUACUACUACACAUUUGCAUAGGAUGAGUUGGCAAACCCAACUCCAUCCGUUCCCAAGUUUCAUUUAAAACCCAACUGUUUAAUUAAAGGUGACGAGAUCUCCCGACAUUUUCACUACUAGAUGCUCAAGUUGUGUGUAACCGGGGACACGGCUAAUCGAUUAGGUUGACACUCUGCAGAGGUUGCACACUUUUCCCCACAAGACUCGACCACCUCCACGAUCGGAAGAUCGAGACAUAGUCUUUCGGAAAUGUUCCCCCUUAACCCACGGAUAGGCCGGUACACCUACAUCAUUCUACAUCUGCUAGCCCAUCCCGGAAGGGAUCACACUAACUACUCAACUAAGCCAGAGCCCAUAUUGGCUUGUAGCUGCACACGUAAGCUUCUAGACAUGAGAAUACGAUUGAUCUCUUUGAGCCUGAGCGGACGGUCCACUAGUGGUGCACCACCAUGGAUUUCCCAUGCGUGCCCCAUUGUACUUCGCCACCAUUCCAACAAGUUUCCGCCCAGGUAGUUCAUUAAUUAUCUUAGGUCCUAUUUACUACAUUUCCACUCAUACUUUACAAUGAUUACUCCCCAAUCCACGUCUACUUAGCGAAGCAACAUAAUGUAAAACGAUGGCGACAAUGUUAUAAGGUUCAGACCUACCUCAAUGAACUACUGGGUGAAAAGCAUAGUCAUGCGACAUCAAUUCCUACCAUGCAGUCCUACCGCAAAGAACUAAGUGCAAACAAAAAACAUAGGUAAUGAAAUAUGAUCAAGAUGCAACUUGCCUUGGUACUGCUGGUUGAAUUCUAAAGACUGAUAAUAUUCUGCUUCGCACUCCGGGCAAUCUAUCGCAAAGAAGAUAAACAAACAUAUGUAAACAUUUUAGAGAACCAAGAAGAACAUGCAAAGCAAAAAGUCUCGGAAAAACCAAAUGAACAAACAACACACUUAACUAGCACAAAAAUAUUCUAAGUGCAAAGCCACAUGGGCCUAUGGUUCAAGAAGUGAUGUGAACUAUAGUGCAUACUAUGCAUACUAGUAAAAAUCUUAAUGGACAGAUUCUAGUGUGUGAAAAUUAUUGUGACAAAGGUCCAGGUGAUAGGGUUUGGCUACGGUGAUAAAGUGCAAAAAGAAUCAACUUAAUCGGAGCUUCGGUUUGGGAGAUAUGGUCAUUUGAACUUCGAAUUCGAAUCUGAAUAAAUUCAAAUUUGAAUCGGACAAAAGUUUACAAAAAGGAUACCAUUGGAUAGAUCUAAACAUGACGAAGAAUUUGCCGCUGGUUUCAUCGAGUUUGGAUCUACGGUUAAAAAGUUGUGGCUACUCGAAGUUCAGGGACUAAUCUGCUAAUUACAGGGACUAAACAGAGAACAAAACUAUCGCAACCAAGUCCCUGGCCAAGUGGCGGCUCCUGGCUGGCCGAGCAGCGUCCGCUGCGGAGGCUAUUCGGCGAACGGUCGCUAAAUAGAAAAAAAACAACGGCGACGGCUAACUAAAGAAAAACCGACGCUCGGUUUAAAUAAAACUGCACGGUCUAAGGGAACCGCGGUUAACCGCGUACCUCUUUGCAAAAUAAAAAAACGAACCUAAUCUAAUCUGGGCUGUCGAUGAUCGAUCUAACGGGCGGGAGUGGGGCGGCGGCUUACAGCGGCCGGCGACGUCGGCGACGAGCAGAGGACGGCGGCGCGGCGUCGGGCGGUGGCGGGGCAGCGGCUACGGCGGUCCUCGGCGUCGGGGAAGAAGACGGGGAGGUGCGGCGCGGCGUGGGCGUCCGGAUGGUGGCGUCAGGGCUCCUCAGGGGCAUCGGGGAUCGGCGAGACGAAGGCGGCGGCGCUCCGUGGGCUCCGGCGAGGUCGGGCGUCGUCUCCGGCGGGACCUAAGCGAGGAAAAGGUGUCAAAAAGACGAGCAAGUUCACGGUGGCACGAUUGACGAAGGAACAAGGGCUCGGGGUGGUUUACUGGCAGCGGAAUGCUCCGGCGAGGUCCGUUCGGCCGGCAAGAUCCAAGCGGCGACUACAGGCGGUAGGAGCGGCGUGGGAAGAAGCGGGACGGCGAGGAUGGAAGAGGGGGUUCGGGGCAUUUAUAGGCGCGGUCAGGAGCUCUACGGAGCUGCGGAUAAGCCUCAUCCGCGAGGGAGUCGAGCGGCGGUUGUGGGAGCGCGGCGAGGAUGUUUAUCCCGCGGGCUGCGGGAGGUUGGGGACGGCCUGACGGGCGGGGCCCGCCUGGCAGCGGCAGUGAGAGGAGGCGAGCGAGGGCGGGCGCGGAGCGGUUGACCGGUGCGGGAGGCGUCGGGUGCUGGGGUGCUGGCCUUGGGCCAAAUGGCCAGCAGGGCCGGUUGGGCGCUCCUGGGCCGAACCCAGUUUUGGUCCAGGCUGCGGUGAGUACGUGCGUGCGUUUUUUUAAACUGAAGACUAAAGUGGCCCUAAACAAUUCAAAUGAAAUAAUAAGAACACCACAAUAAUUUCUAAAAUAACUAUACAAUAUUUAGAACCUAAUGAACAUUAACUUAAGCACAUAACAUUUUAAAAAUAUUUUGCUAAUGCAAUUAAUGCAUUUUUUGCCAAUAAAAUAAAUACCAAUAAACUCCAAAACUUCAAAUAAUAUUCAAAAUAAAAUUUCCCACUCUUUUAUAAAUUUGAGGAAGUCAUCUUAUUUUUCUCAAGUGGAAAAAUAUUAUUUGUUUUUCUCAAGUGGAAAAAUAUUAUUUGAAUAUUUCAAAAACUCCAAAAUGCAAAGAAAUAUGAUAUGCAUUGAAUGAUUCUAUUAACAUCUAAAUUUAAUAAAAAUUGGGAUGUUACAUAUCCCUAGAAAACUUUAUGAUGAGUGGGAACCUACUAUUAAAAUUAAAAUUAAAGAUCAUGAAUGCUAUGCUUUGUGUGAUUUGGGUGCUAGUGUUUCCACUAUUCCCAAAACUUUGUGUGAUUUGUUAGGCUUCCAUGAUUUUGAUGAUUUCUCUUUAAACUUGCACCUUGCGGAUUCCACCAUUAAGAAACCUAUGGGAAGAAUUAAUAAUGUUCUUAUUGUUGCAAAUAGGAACUAUGUGCCCGUAGACUUUAUCGUUCUUGACAUUGAUUGCAAUCCUUCAUGUCCUAUUAUUCUUGGUAGACCUUUCCUUAGAACGAUUGGUGCAAUUAUUGAUAUGAAGGAAGGGAAUAUUAGAUUCCAAUUUCCAUUAAAGAAAGUCAUGGAACACUUCCCUAGGAAUAAACUAAAAUUACCAUAUGAAUCUAUCAUGAGAGCCACUUAAGGAUUGCCUACCAAAGAUGGCAAUACCUAGAUCUAUCCUUGCUAUUAUGCCUAGCUAGGGGCGUUAAACGAUAGCGCUUCUUGGGAGGCAACCCAAUUUUAUUUUUAGUUUUUGCUUUUUGCUUCUGUUUAGGAAUAAAUUUUUGUUCUAGCCUCUGGUUAGAUGUGUUUUUAUGUUUUAAUUAGUGUUUGUGCCAAGUUAAACCUAUAGGAUCUUCUUGGAUGAUAGUUAUUUGAUCUUGCUGUAAUUUCCAGAAAAUUUCUGUUCACGAAAAUAAUUGUUAAAAAUCACCAGAACGUGAUAAAAUAUUGAUUCCAAUUGCUGCUGAUCAAUAAACAAAUUUUCUAGUUCUUCCUAUUUUGGCUGAUGUUUUGGAGUUCCAGAAGAUUGCGUUAGUUACAGAUUACUACAGACUGUUCUGUUUUUGACAGAUUCUGUUUUUCGUGUGUUGCUUGCUUAUUUUGAUGAAUCUAUGGCUAGUAAAAUAGUUUAUAAACCAUAGAGAAGUUGUAAUACAGUAGGUUUAACACCAAUAUAAAUAAAGAAUGAGUUCAUUACAGUACCUUGAAGUGGUCUUAUAUUUUCUUUCGCUAACGGAGCUCACGAGAUUUUCUGCUGAGUUUUGUGUUGUGAAGUUUUCAAGUUUUGGGUGAAAGAUUUGAUGGAUUAUGGAACAAGGAGUGGCAAGAGCCUAAGCUUGGGGAUUCCCAUGGCACCCCCAAGAUAAUCUAAGGACACCAAAAAGCCAAAGCUUGGGGAUGCCCCGGAAGGCAUCCCCUCUUUCGUCUACUUCCAUCGGUAACUUUAUUUGGAGCUAUAUUUUUAUUCACCACAUGAUAUGUGUUUUGCUUGGAGCGUCUUGUAUGAUUUGAGUCUUUUCUUUUUAGUUUACCACAAUCAUCCUUGUUGUACACACAUUUUGAGAGAGACACACAUGAUUCGGAAAUUAUUAGAAUACUCUAUGUGCUUCACUUAUAUCUUUUGAGUUAUAUACUUUUUGCUCUAGUACUUCACUUAUAUCUUUUAGAGCACAGUGGUGGAUUUGUUUUAUAGAAAGUAUUGAUCCAUCAUGCUUCACUUAGAUUAUUUUGAGAGUCUUAAACAGCAUGGUAAUUUUCUUAAAUAAUCCUAAUAUGCUAGGUAUUCAAGAAUGAUAAAAAAUCUUUCUUAUGAGUGCAUUGAAUACUAUGAGAAGUUUGAUACUUGAUAAUUGUUUUGAGAUAUGGAGGUAGUAAUAUUAGAGUCAUGCUAGUUGGGUAGUUGUGAAUUUGAGAAAUACUUGUGUUAAAGUUUGUGAUUCCCGUAGCAUGCACGUAUGGUGAACCGUUAUAUGAUGAAGUCGGAGCAUGAUUUAUUUAUUGAUUGUCUUCCUUAUGAGUGGCGGUCGGGGACGAGCGAUGGUCUUUUCCUACCAAUCUAUCCCCCUACGAGCAUGCGCAUAAUACUUUGCUUUGAUAACUUGUAGAUUUUUGCAAUAAGUAUAUGAGUUCUUUAUGACUAAUGUUGAGUCCAUGGAUUACACACACUUUUCCUCCUUCCACCAUUGCUAGCCUCUCUAAUACCGCGCACAUUUCGCCGGUAUCAUACACCCACCAUAUACCUUCCUCAAAACAGCCACCAUACCUACCUAUCAUGGCAUUUCCAUAGCCAUUCCGAGAUAUAUUGCCAUGCAACAUUCCACCGUUCCGUUUAUUAUGACACGCUCCAUCAUUGUCAUAUUGAUUUGCAUGAUCAUGUAGUUGACAUUGUAUUUGUGGCAAAGCCACCGUUCAUAAUUCUUUCAUACAUGUCACUCUUGAUUCAUUGCAUAUCCCGGUACACCGCCGGAGGCAUUCACAUAGAGUCAUAUUUGGUUCUAAGUAUUGAGUUGUAAUUGUUGAUUUGUAAGAAAAUAAAAGUGUGAUGAUCAUCAUUUUUAGAGCAUUGUCCCAAGUGAGUAAAGGAUGAUGGAGACUAUGAUUCCCCCACAAGUCGGGAUGAGACUCCGGACUAAAUAAAAAAAAUGAGGCCAUAAAAAAAGAGAGAAAAGGCCCAAAUAAAAAAAUGAGAGAAAAAGAGAGAAGGGACAAUGUUACUAUCCUUUUACCACACUUGUGCUUAGCACCAUGAUCUUCAUGAUAGAGAGUCUCAUAUGAUAUCACUUUCAUAUACUAGUGGGAAUUUUUCAUUAUAGAACUUGGCUUGUAUAUUCCAAUGAUGGGCUUCCUCAAAAUGCCCUAGGUCUUCGUGAGCAAGCGAGUGGGAUGCACACCCACUUAGUUUCUUUUGAGCUUUCAUAUACUUAUAGCUCUAGUGCAUCCGUUGCAUGGCAAUCCAUACUCACUCACAUUGAUAUCUAUUGAUGGGCAUCUCCAUAGCCCAUUGAUACGCCUAGUUGAUGUGAGACUAUCUUCUCCUUUUUGUCUUCUCCACAACCACCAUUCUAUUCCACAUAUAGUGCUAUGUCCAUGGCUCACGCUCAUGUAUUGCGUGAAGAUUGAAAAAGUUUGAAAAUGUCAAAAGUAUGAAACAAUUGCUUGGCUUGUCAUCGGGGUUGUGCAUGAUUUAAAUAUUUUGUGUGGUGAAGACAGAACAUAGCCAGACUAUAUGAUUUUGUAGGGAUAACUUUCUUUGGCCAUGUUAUUUUGAGAAGACAUAAUUGCUUAGUUAGUGUGCUUGAAGUAUUAUUAUUUUUAUGUCAAUAUGAACUUUUAUCUUGAAUCUUUCGGAUCUGAAUAUUCAUAUCAUAAUUAAGAAGAAUUACAUUGAUAUUAUGCCAAGUAGCACUCCGCAUCAAAAAUUCUGUUUUUAUCAUUUACAUACUCGAGGACGAGCAGGAAUUAAGCUUGAGGAUGCUUGAUACGUCUCCAACGUAUCUAUAAUUUUUUAUUGCUCCAUUCUAUAUUAUCUUCUGUUUUGGACAUUAUUGGGCUUUAUUAUUCACUUUUAUAUUAUUUUUGGGACUAACCUAUUAACCGGAGGCCCAGCUCAGAAUUGUUGUUUUUUGCCUAUUUCGGAGUUUCGCAGAAAAAGAAUAUCAAACGGAGUCCAAACGGAAUGAAACCUUCGGGAACGUGAUUUUCGGAACGAACAUGAUCCAGGAGACUUGGACCCUACGUAAGAGAAGCUUUCAGGAGGCCACGNNNNNNNNNNNNNNNNNNNNNNNNNNNNNNNNNNNNNNNNNNNNNNNNNNNNNNNNNNNNNNNNNNNNNNNNNNNNNNNNNNNNNNNNNNNNNNNNNNNNNNNNNNNNNNNNNNNNNNNNNNNNNNNNNNNNNNNNNNNNNNNNNNNNNNNNNNNNNNNNNNNNNNNNNNNNNNNNNNNNNNNNNNNNNNNNNNNNNNNNNNNNNNNNNNNNNNNNNNNNNNNNNNNNNNNNNNNNNNNNNNNNNNNNNNNNNNNNNNNNNNNNNNNNNNNNNNNNNNNNNNNNNNNNNNNNNNNNNNNNNNNNNNNNNNNNNNNNNNNNNNNNNNNNNNNNNNNNNNNNNNNNNNUGUUGCUCCACCGACGUACUCCUUCCUCCUAUAUAUACCUACGUACCCCCAAACGAUCAGAUAUGGAGCCAAAAACCUAAUUCCACCGCCGCAACCUUCUGUACCCACGAGAUCCCAUCUUGGGGCCUGUUCCGGAGCUCCGCCGGAGGGGGCAUCCAUCACGGAGGGCUUCUACAUCAACACCAUAGCCUCUCCGAUGAAGUGUGAGUAGUUUACCUCAGACCUUCGGGUCCAUAGUUAUUAGCUAGAUGGCUUCUUCUCUCUUUUUGGAUCUCAAUACAAUGUUCUCCCCCUCUCUCGUGGAGAUCUAUUCGAUGUAAUCUUCUUUUGCGGUGUGUUUGUUGAGACCGAUGAAUUGUGGGUUUAUGAUCAAGUUUAUCUAUGAACAAUAUUGAAUCUUCUGAAUUCUUUUAUGUAUGAUUGGUUAUCUUUGCAAGUCUCUUCGAAUUAUCAGUUUGGUUUGGCCUACUAGAUUGAUCUUUCUUGCAAUGGGAGAAGUGCUUAGCUUUGGGUUCAAUCUUGCGGUGUCCUUUCCCAGUGACAGUAGGGGCAGCAAGGCACGUAUAGUAUUGUUGCCAUCGAGGAUAACAAGAUGGGGUUUUUAUCAUAUUGCAUGAAUUUAUCCCUCUACAUCAUGUCAUCUUGCUUAAGGCGUUACUCUAUUCUUAUGAACUUAAUACUCUAGAUGCAUGCUAGAUAGCGGUCGAUGUGUGGAGUAAUAGUAGUAGAUGCAGGCAGGAGUCGGUCUACUUGUCUCGGACGUGAUGCAUAUAUACAUGAUCAUACCUAGAUAUUCUCAUAACUAUGCUCAAUUCUGUCAAUUGCUCAACAGUAAUUUGUUCACCCACCGUAAAAUACUUAUGCUCAUGAGAGAAGCCACUAGUGAAACCUAUGGCCCCCAGGUCUAUCUUCAUCAUAUUAAUCUUCCGACACUUAGUUAUUUCCGUUGCCUUUUACUUUGCUUUUAUUUUACUUUGCAUCUCUAUAACAAAAAUACCAAAAAUAUUAUCUUAUCAUAUCUAUCAGAUCUCACUCUCGUAAGUGACCAUGUAGGGAUUGACAACCCCUUAUCGCGUUGAUUGCGAGGAUUUAUUUGUUUUGUGUAGGUGCGAGGGACUCGCGCGUAGCCUCCUACUGGAUUGAUACCUUAGUUCUCAAAAACUGAGGGAAAUACUUACGCUACUUUGCUGUAUCACCCUUUCAUCUUCAAGGGAAAACCAACGCAGUGCUCAAGAGGUAGCAACAGUCGAAAAAUAAAACGGCCGACCGGUCGGAUCGACCACCUCGUGGCCGAGAUAGGGCGGCUAACGAGGCCGCACAUAAGUCAGCACACGAUCCAAGCAAGGGCUUGCAUCAAAAGGCCGGCGUGACCAGAUCCAUCUACGGAUCUAGGAAGCGCGCUCCAGCGCAUAAUCAAAACCGAACACCACAACCGUCAGAACACCAUGACACAUCCAAAUACAGGGGUGCCGCGCACCCCCUAUGUUUCACCGAUGAAGUGCUGGAUCAUGAAUUUCCUGAGGGAUUUAAACCCGUGAACAUAGAGGCGUACGACGGAACGAUAGACCCUGGGGUCUGGAUUGAGGACUUCAUCCUCCACAUCCAUAUGGCUCGCGGAGACGAUCUCCACGCCAUCAAAUACUUGCCCCUCAAGUUGAAAGGACCAGCUCGGCACUGGCUGAAGAGCCUCCCCGAAAAUUCAAUUGGAAGUUGGGAGGAGCUCGAGGAUGCUUUUAGGACUAACUUUCAAGGCACCUAUGUCCGACCUCCGGAUGCAGACGAUUUAAGUCAUAUAAUUCAACAGCCCGGAGAGUCAGCCCGAAAGCUUUGGAACUGAUUUCUCACUAAGAAGAAUCAAAUCGUCGACUGCCCGGACGCCGAAGUCUUAGGAGCUUUCAAACACAGCGUCCGAGACGAAUGGCUCGCCAGACACCUCGGCCAAGAAAAGCCAAGAACAAUGGCAGCCCUAACAAGCCUCAUGACCCGCUUUUGCGCGGGCGAAGAUAGCUGGCUGGCACGUAGUAGCACCAGCGACCCAGGCAUAUCUGAAGUCAGGGAUGGCAAUGGAAAACCACGAUGCAGUAAAAGCAAGCGUCGAAAUAACGAAGACAGCCCAGACAACACGGCGGUAAACGCCGGAUUCAGGGGCUCUCGACCCGGUCAGCGGAAAAAGCCUUUCAAAGGCAACAGAGAUGGACCGUCCAGCCUAAACAAGAUUCUAGACAAAUUAUGUCAGAUUCAUGGCACCCCCGAUAAACCUGCAAAUCACACCCACAGAGAAUGCUGGGUCUUCAAGCAGGCCGAUAAGUUAAACGCCGAACACAAGGGGAGGGAAACACCAAGUGAAGACGAGGAUGAGCCUCGCCAGCAAAGCACUGGGGGACAGAAAAAAUUCCCACCAGAGGUCAAAACAAUGAACAUGAUUCACGUAACAAAAAGCAAACAUGCACUCCGAGACAUACGCGCCGUAGAGCCCGUCACCCCUAAGUUCAACCCUUGGUAGGCCUGCCCGAUCACUUUUGAUCGCAGGGAUCACCUGACAAGUAUCCGGCACAGAGGAUUGGCUGCCUUGGUACUAGACCCAAUUAUCGACGGAUAUCAUCUCACCCAAGUCCUCAUGGACGGCAGUAGUAGUCUUAAUCUGAUAUAUUAGGACACAGUCCGCAAAAUGGGGAUAGACCCGACAAGAAUCAGCCAAAGCAAUACUACCUUUAAAGGAGUAAUACCAGGCCCAGAGGCCCGCUGUACGGGCUCUCUAGUACUGGAGGUUGUAUUCGGUUCUCCCGACAACUUCCGAAGUGAAAAGUUAACCUUCGACAUCGCUCCAUUCCGAAGCGGCUAUCAAGCACUACUCGAAAGAACAGCUUUCGCUGGUUUUAAUGCAGUACCGCAUUACGCUUCUCUUAAGCUCAAGAUCCCAGUCCACGUGGCAUCAUCACAGUUUGCGGAAAUGUCGAGCGUUCCUUACGCGCGGAAGAACGUGUGGCGGCUUUAGCAGCCGAACACUAAGCGGCCUCCCCAACCAGAAUAAAUGAUCGGUCGUCAAGACCGCGGACACGGCUAGAUGAGUCCGGCGUAUCACUAGCUGUAACAGCUUAGAUAAACCUGAGAUUGGUUUGAUGGAUAUACCCCCAUAGGCGGUACCAGGGGCUUCCCGCAUGUAAAAAGGACUACAAUUCGGCUCGACCUUACUUAUCUUGAAUUUUAAUGGUUUAUUGAGAAUAACCAAUUUUUCGCACGACAACUUUCACCUAAGUUCUUCUCUUUUACAGAUGAUAAUCGUGCUACACCCUUCCAGGAUACGGCACAACGGAGACACAUGCGCAGACAUGCAGCAGGGCCCCGCUCAAAGGUUUCUUUUUAGAUUAAGACCAUGUGUAAACCUUUUUUACUGUCUCUUGUUGCUUCACAUCCUCCGGAUACUCAGGAUAACCGAGAGGGAUGCUGACGUUAUUGGCAUUUCGGCACGUCAGAAUAAUGCACGUACCUGGACACUUGGGGUUCAUUAUCAAGGGCGUUAUUCAGCCUGGUAUAUGUUGUAAAGACCGAAUACCUUAGGGAGUGUUCGGCGUCGCGAGUUUGGCCUUAUAUGCAUCAGCUCCGAAUCAUGUCUUUGGUCAAAUGUUGGGUUUGCCCGGCUCCCGUGUUUUGCUACCUUAUGUUCCGCUCUAUCGGCUAAGGUGGCACCGGGAGAACUACUGCGAUUGUGCCCUGGUUCAUCCAGAAGAGCACCUCAGUAGAGAAAGCCGAAAACUGACUGUCAUGAUAAAGCGUGAGACUGGUCAACCACUUGAUGACUCAUCGGAAUCUUCAGGAUUCCUCCGCAUUAACGAAGGACCGGUUUUCCCGGUCAUGUACGUAAGCGCACCGUAUUCGGAUAGCCGCGGAAAUACCAGGGGCUAUAUAGUAGCCCCAUUGUCAAACUCCUAUGGUUAAGUGAAAGUGUUAAAGCAAUAUAGUCUGAUUGCCUCGUUCGCCGCGCUACCACCUCCUUAAUGGAUCAAGACGUUGGAUCAAGUGUGAACACGCGCUUUUGCGAACACCCCCGCAUUAUAUGCGUGGGGGCUGAAGUCGACGACUGCAAACUUUCAGGUUAUAUGCAUAUAUACAUAAACGGCCGCAAAGGAGGCAUCCUAAUACUUUCAGGCAAAAGUAUAAACAUAGCCUUUAUAACUCAAAUAGCAUUGUUAUUACAAUCGAGAUACAUGUCACUCGAACAUGACACUCUUCGAGCACUGAGCCUCUAUUAAACGAGCUCCUUCCAGGACUUCUUCAAAGUAGUGCUCGGCUGAAACCUGGCCUACGGCCGGAUUCUGGCUUGGAAUCGCGGUGGCCUCCAUCUCCGCCCAGUAUGUCUUGACACGGGCAAGAGCCAUCCGCGCACCCUCUAUGCACGCCGACCUCUUUUCAGCGUCGAUAUGUGGCACAGCACCAAGGAAUCAUUGCACAAGACCAAAAUAACUAUUCGGCCUUGGUCCUUCCGGCCAGAGACGAUCCACGACAGACCUCAUGGCAAGCCCGGACAACCUAUGGAGCUCGGCCCACUCGACCAUUUGCUCAUUUAACAGUAGCGGACGCGUCGGAGCAUUGAACUGCGACCAGAACAACUUUUCCACUUCGUGAUCUUUUUGAUCUUCGAAAAACUUGGUCGCAUCAGCAGCACUUGCUGCCAAAUCCAGGUACGCGCCCGCAGAACUCCAUGAUUGAUCUAGAAGGGCAUACUUAGGAUCUCCGAACUUCGUCCACAACAAAAAGGACUUCCCAGCCGCGAUAUCUCCGGCUUGACGUAGCUCCUCCUUCGCCGCUCUGAUUUUAGAGCGGGCUUCCUUGGCUGCUACCAUGGCUUUCUCCAGGUCCGCCGUCUUCGUCUGGCUUUCCUUUUCAAGAAGCUCAUAACGGUCGGCGGCAUCUUUCAGCUCAACAGCCAUCUUGGCUACUUUCUCUUUGCUCUGGCAAUGCGCAGCCUGUUCGGCUCUUAGCUCUUCGACCGCCUUUAGGGCGGCCGCAUCACUCUUCCUGGCUUGUUCCUUGGCUCGAGCAAGUUCCGCCUGAAGGGUCUCCACGGCGACAGCUCCAUCUGCAGUCACAGCAUAUUACAGAUACUAGCAUCAUGCUCCUCUUAAUAUGUGUUGAUCAUAGGAGAAUACAUACCAUGUGCCUCGUCAAGCCGCUUGUUUACAAGCACGAUGUCGACAUCUACCGCAUCAAGUUGCCGCUUCAGUUCGGCAAACUCACCAGUCCGGCUAGCCACCGGCCCCUCAGCCGCCUGCACGUGAAAGCAGCACGGUUAUUACCUGGGACUAUGAUCUUCUAUUUGCCGUCUUUUUCGACAGCAACCAGAGUCUCAGGGGCUACUAUCUGCAUAGGGCACACCUAGCGUGUGCGGUACCGUCAAAAAAUAUAUUACUUUGCGUACCUCAAAGCCUCUCAGUAGGCUUAUAAAGGCUUCAUGCAACCCGCUUUCGGCGGAUGAAAUCCUCUCAACCACCGUACCCAUUAGCGUACGAUGCGCUUCCAAGAUAGCCGCUUGCUCCAGAAGAUUCAUCAGUGCGCCUGGUCGCGCACCGGACAGUCCCGGACUCUUUCUGUUGCUCUCCUUAGGAGCCGAAUACUCCGGACUUCGGGUGGCCGAAGGGUUACCCUCUGGCCUUGGCGGAUCAGGAGAAAUCCUCUGUGACGACACCUCAGGGUCAUCCGCUUCACGAGGCGGGGAGGCACGGGGAGGCGUUUCACUCUCCAUCAUCUCCGGAAGAAGAUCCCCCAAAGACGAACUGUGUCGAGAAGGGCUACGACCCGAACUACAAGAUCUGCGUCUCGGUUAUUGUUCUCAGAAAUGAAGCAGGGUAUAUUUACUAUAAAGUACUUUUGUUUACUUACAGCUCGGUGGAGGGUUGGUCCCCUUGCGGGUACUGUGCGGUAAGGAUGCCCUCCAGGGUAGGGCCCCCUGACAAAGGUUUCUUCCCUCGUUUGAAAACCAUUGUUUCUAAGUCUUCAGAGGCGGCCCUCUUCCUUCCUUGGGGAGAGGGAAUUUUAGAUUCUUCUCCCCGGUUGUCCUCCUUUGCGGAGGCACUAAUUCCUCCGGUUUGGAUGAGUAAUGAGUGAGGCUCGCUUUCGGCUUCUUUGUUCCUCCCUUUAUCUUCCCCUGAUGGCGCUUGAUAAGGCGCAAGCUCAAGCAUCCUGGCUAGUACAGGAUCCGGUGAGCCUUCGGGAAGGGGGGCCGAACACCUGAUCAUCUUCGCCUUUUUUAUCCGGUCCUGGUCAAAAGGCAACUUUUCAGAAUGAUGUUGUGGUAAAUUAAAAGAUAACGUGUUCGGCCGUGGAAUUACUUACUUGGGUAUCUGGACGAUUGCAGCUUAGACCCGCAUCCUCGGUGGUGUCCGGACACUUUAUUUGUGAUCCGAAGAACAAUUUGUACAUCUCUUCGAGCGCCAUGCCGAAGAAGUUCUGAAUGGUUCGCAGUCCUUACGGGUUGAACUCCCACAUACGGAGAGGUCGACGUUUGCAAGGCAGGACUCGACGAACUAGCAUGACUUGCAUUACCUUGACAAGGCUGACAUCUCUCUCGAGGAGACCUCGGAUGCGACUCUGCAAUGUCGGCACAUCAUUUACUGGCCCCCAUUCCAGCCCCUUGUUGAUCCAUGAUGCCAGCUGUGGCGGGGGGUCCGAGCGGAAGGCAAGGGCGGCUACCCACUUAGUACCCCGGGGAGCUGUGAUGUAAAACCACUCCCGUUGCCAUAGGUUGGACACCUCCGGGAAGGAACCCUUUGGCCAUGGAACAUCGGCGCCUUUACUUAUUACGGCACCUCCGCAUUCUGCGUGUCGCCCAUUAAUCAUCUUUGGCUUCACAUUAAAGGUCUUGAGCCAUAAGCCGAAGUGUGGGGUGACGUGGAGGAAGGCCUCACACACGACGAUGAACGACGAGAUGUGAAGGAUGGAAUCCGGGGCCAGAUCAUGGAAAUCAAGCCCGUAAUAGAACAUGAGCCCUCUAACAAAGAAAUCUAGAUUAAAGCCUAGCCCUCGGAGGAAGUGGGAGACGAAUACGACACUCUCGCCGGGUUCGGGAGUGGGAAUGACCUGCCCUCGAGCAGGCAGCCUGUGUGAGAUUUCGGCGGUCAGAUACCUGGCUUCUCGUAACUUCUUGAUGUCCUCCUCUGUGACAAGGAGGGCAUCCACCGACCUUGAAGGUUGGAUCCGGACAUGACUGAAGGUCCGAAGCGCCUAGCCUGAGCCUUGGGUGUUGGAACUCGAGGUGGGGGAAGGAUUCGAUUGAGUGCGAGAAGAAAAGGACAGGCCUUGGCCCCUUUAUAAAGAGGGUGAAUAUCAAGCAUCCUCCGCGUGGCCGUUUGGAACUUGCCUAAACUCGAGGAGUCAUACCAACAGGCACGAUUGGGUUACCCAUACCAGUAUUGAUGAGAAUCCCGUGAAAAGAGGGACACGAUCUUUGCUUCGACAGGACGUGCCAAUAAAACUGCCCCGCGAGACAUGCAGUGGCAGGCUGGGAGAAACGGUUCGAAUAAUGACCAGGCCGUGGUAUGAUGUCACGUUAUGAAAAGCUGUCAGCAGAUUAGAUUUGUGGAAAUAUUAUUCUCUCUACGGUGGUAUGUGGAAUUUGUUUUGCAGAGCCGGACACUAUCCUCGUGUUCAAAAUUUUCUAUGGAGUAUUCGGAGAAGGAACCCGCCUUGCAAUGCAGAAAACAAUCUGCGCGCCGGACUCAUCGUCAUUGAAGCCUGGUUCAGGGGCUACUGAGGGAGUCCUGGAUUAGGGGGUCCUCGGACAGCCGGACUAUAUACUUUGGCCGGACUGUUGGACUAUGAAGAUACAAGAUUGAAGACUUCAUCCCGUGUCCGGAUGGGACUCACCUUGGCGUGGAAGGCAAGCUUGGUAGUACGGAUAUGUAGAUCUCCUCCCUUGUAACCGACUCUGUGUAACCCUAGCCCCCUCCGGUGUCUAUAUAAACCGGAGGGUUUAGUCUGUAGGACAACAACAAUCAUACCAUAGGCUAGCUUCUAGGGUUUAGCCUCCACGAUCUCGUGGUAGAUCAACUCUUGUAAUACUCAUAUCAUCAGGAUCAAUCAAGCGGGAAGUAGGGUAUUACCUCCAUCAAGAGGGCCCGAACCUGGGUAAACAUCGUGUCCCCCGCCUCCUGUUACCAUCCGCCUUAGACGCACAGUUCGGGACCCCCUACCCGAGAUCCGCCGGUUUUGACACCGACAGAGACUGCUCAAGAUAUGAGUGAUUUGCAAUCCCAUGGAUUUAGAUUCAUCCAAGUACCUACAAGGGUUAGAUAGCAUGCAAGGGUACAAAUGUAUCCAAGACAUAUGAUCAUCAUCAUAAGAGAAAAAGUCAAGGAUUAGUCAUAGGCUCAUGCCUUGCAUGUAUCCAAAUGGAGUUCCUACUCAAAGUUUGAAGCAUCAAUGAUGUUCAAUUCAGCUCUCAAACGGCAAAAGACUUUCUCAUCAAGCGGUUUGGUGAAUAUAUCCGCCAAUUGCUUAUCGGUACGAACAUGCUUAAGAUCAAUGCCCCCUUUUGCAACAUGAUCUCGAAUGAAAUGAUGACGAACUUCAAUAUGCUUAGUUUGAGAAUGUUGCACAGGAUUGUGAGCAAUCUUAAUAGCACUCUCAUUGUCACAAAGCAAUGGAACAUGUUUCACAUUGAUCCCAUAAUCUUUAAGAGUUUGGGUCAUCCAAAGUAAUUGAGCACAACAUGAACCGGCGGCAAUGUAUUCCGCUUCGGCGGUGGAUAAGGAUACCGAGUUUUGUUUCUUGGAGGACCAAGACACAAGAGAUCUACCAAGAAAUUGACAAGUACCCAAAAUGGACUUUCUAUCAACCUUGUCUCCGGCAUAGUCUGAAUCGGAAUAGCCAACAAGAUCAAAAGAGGACCUCUUAGGAUACCAAAUGCCAAAAUUUGGUGUAUGUAUUAAGUAUCUCACUAUCAUUUUCACAGCCUUAAGAUGACAUUCUUUGGGGGCCGCUUGAUAUCAUGCACACAUGCACACACUUAGCAUAAUGUCGGGACGGGAGGCACAUAGAUAUAACAAUGAUCCAAUCAUAGAUCGGUAAACCUUUUGGUCAACCGAUUUGCCAUCCUUCGUCAAGUCAAGAUGUCCACUAGUAGGCAUGGGAGUUUUCAUACCUUUUUACUUUCUUGCAUGUUGAACUUCUUGAAUAAGUCCUUGGUUUACUUUGUUUGGGAAACAAAGGUGCCUUCCUUAGUUUGCUUGAUUUGCAAGCCAAGAAAGAACUUGAGUUCACUCAUCAUAGACAUCUCAAACUUCUUAGACAUUAGCUUUCCAAACUUUUCACUAAAAUGAGGGUUAGUCGAACCAAAUAUGAUAUCAUCAACAUAAAUUUGGCACACAAAUAAUUCACCAUUAACUCUUUUUGUAAAAAGAGUAGAAUCAAUUUUCCCAAUCUCAAAGCCUUUCCCAAUAAGGAACUUGGUCAAGCAUUUAUACCAUGCUCUAGGAGCUUGUUUAAGACCAUAAAGAGCUUUGUGAAGUUUGUAAACAUGAUCGGGUUUCUUAGGAUUGACAAAGCCGGGAGGUUGUUUAACAUAAACUUCCUCCUCAAUUUCACCAUUUAGAAAAGCACUUUUAAUGUCCAUUUGGUACAAGGUGAUAUCAUGGUGAUUAGCAUAGGCAAGUAAGAUGCGGAUGGACUCAAGUCUAGCAACGGGGGCAUAUGUCUCACCGUAGUCCAUACCUUCGACUUGAGUGUAGCCUUGGGCGACGAGACAUGCUUUGUUGUGAACGACUUGACCAUCUUCGUCUUGCUUGUUGCGAAACACCCAUUUGGUACCAAUGAUGUUGUGGUUGUUGUCGGGCUUCUCGACCAAUGUCCACACUUGAUUUCUCUCAAAGUUGUGUAGCUCUUCAUGCAUAGCAUUUAUCCAACCCGGAUCUUCCAAUGCUUCUUCAAACUUCAUAGGUUCAAUGCUAGAGAUGAAUGAAUAAUGUACAAAAAAAUUAGCCAAACGAGUUUUAGAGCGAGUGAUUCUCUCGGUUUGGAUAUCAUUGAAGAUUUGUUCGACGGGGUGGUCUCUUGAGACUCUUGCUCGAACUCGUGAGAGCUUUUGCUUGGGUCGGGGUGGAACAUCUUCUUCAUCAUCUCGUUCUUCUUCUUGGCCUUCUUCAUUGUUGAUGUUGUCAUUCUCUUGUCGUGGUGGAGAAGGAGGUUGAUGAGGUUCAUCUUGGUGUACUUCCUCAUUUUGUUCAUCUUGAUGUGUCCCACUUGUGGAUGCUUCCGUGUCAACUCUUGGUUCACCUUGUCGUGAGGUAGAAGCUUCCACUUGGACGGACGAGGUACUCUCCUUCACCUCCGUUGGACGAAUCUUGCCAAUAGACAUGUCUUGGAUUGCUUCUGAAGGGUCUUUGUCUCCUACAUCAAUUGGCAAUUGCUCUACUUGCGAGCCAUUAGAUUCAUCAAACUUCACAUCUACCGUCUCUUCAACCUUUCGGGUGAAAUUGUUGUAGACACGGUAAGUGUGAGAGUUUGAGCCAUAACCAAGUAGGAAACCCUCAUGAGAUUUAGGAGCAAAUUUAGAACGACGAUGCUUAUCAAGAAUGUAACACUUUGAGCCAAAUACUCGAAAGUAUCCAACUUGGGGUUUGUUACCGAUGAGGAGCUCGUAUGCCGUCUUGCCGAGUAGCUUGUGAAGAUACAAGCGAUUUGUUGCAUGACAAGCUAUCUCAACCGCUUCUGCCCAAAAGUGUUUUGGAGUCUUGUACUCAUCAAGCAUCAUUCUUGCCAUCUCAAUAAGAGUUCGGUUCUUCCUCUCAACAACUCCAUUUUGUUGAGGCGUGUACGUAGCCGAGAACUCAUGUGAAAUCCCCUCUUCGUCAAGAAAGGUAUCCACAUUUGUGUUCUUGAACUCCGUUCUGUUGUCGCUGCGAACCUUCUUGAUCUUCACUUCAAAUUGAUUUUGGGCCUUCCUAGCGAAGUUCUAGAAGAUCUUUUGGACCUGCGAUUUAUCAUCAAGAAAGAACACCCACGUAAAUCUUGAAAAAUCAUCGACUAUGACUAGACCGAAUGAGUUACCGCUGAGACUUUUGUAGGCAUUGGGACCAAAAAGAUCCAUAUGAAGUAGCUCGAGCGGUCUUCUCAUGGUCAUUAUGUUCUUCAUGGGGUGACUUCCUCCUACUUGUUUUCCUACUUGACAAGCACUGCACAAUCUAUCCUUGUCAAAUAUAACAUCUUUCACUCCAAGGAUAUGAUUACCUUUAAUAAGCAUCUCAAGAUUUCACAUGCCCACAUGACCUAAACUUCUAUGCCACAACCAACCUUUCAAAGAUUUAGCAAUAAAGCAAGUUCUAGGUUGAGCCUUUUUAGUGAAGUCAACAAUGUAAAGAUCACCUCUACGUAUUCCGGUAAAGACCAUUUUAUGAUUAUCUCUACGAAACACUUGGCAAUCUACUUCAGUAAAUAGGACAUUGAAACCAAAGUCAGCAAGUCUAGAUACGGGAAGUAAAUUGUAGCCAAGAGAUUCAACGAGUAUAACAUUUUGUAUGGAGCUAUCAUGUGAGAUGGCCACCUUACCAAGGCCAACCACCUUACCCUUUGAGUUAUCACCAAAAGUGACAUACUUCCGAGGGCCGUCGUUUUCAGCAAGCUCACGAAACAUAUCCUUAUCUCCGGUCAUAUGAUCAGUACAUCCACUAUCAAGGACCCAUUCCUUUCCUCCAGCCAUGUAGCCGCGAAGAUUAGCCAUAAGACCAAAGUGUCUCAUAGACUCAUCGAGAUCAAAGUCACUAUCAUCAUCCUCAUCAUAGUAUCGAUGUUCAACAUCGUCUUGUGAUAGAUCAAUUCCUAGAGAGAGUGAUUCAUUAGAUAAAUGAUCAUCACAAUAAUCAUCUUUAUGAAUUCUAAUGACUUCAGAGAUGAUAUUGCUAAUGAUUCCAACAUCUCCUUUGGCACGCAUGAGAUUAGUAAGUUCAAAUAGACAAUCACCAAACCUAGGAUCAUUGGAAUUCAUCUUACUCAAGGAAAUAGACUUAUGAAGGAUCUUAUCUAAGUUUUGCAAGGAAUAGUUUGGAAAUCGUUACUCAAGAAAUCUCCAUAUAGUGUAGGCACAAUCAAGAGUAGGUAAGCUAGCAAUCAAAUUUUUGGGCAAUGCUCUAAUGAUAAGAUUGAUAGUUCUAAGAUUGCAAAUCAUGUCAAGAUCCUCAUCGGGAGUGGGAUGCAAAGGAUCAUUAGGGGAAAUGCAAGGACUAGUAAUGUACUUGUUCAAGUGAUAUUCAUUGAAAAUCUCAAUCAUCUCAUUUUUUCACUCAUGAAAGUACUCUCCAUCAAGUAUAGGCACUCUAUGUCUAAGACUCCCCAACGUAGACACAUCCAUCUUCCUCCAAAGGUGUUUAAACCAAAGCAAUGGAGACCAAUGCUCUGAUACCAAUUGAAAGGAUCGAGAAGAGGUGUCUAGAGGGGGGUGAAUAGACUCUUAACAAUAAAAAGUUACAAUUUUUAUUUUCUUCAAGUUGAGGUAGAGUUUUGGCACAAGUUUAAGCAUUCACAAUACAUAUCAAGCAAGCAUGGCAAGAGUAUAUGAGCAUCGGAAAGUAAAGCAUGCACUUUGCAAGAAUGUAAAGGGAUGGGAUUGGAGUGUGCAAACGCAAUUGAAGACACGGAGAUUUUUGGCGUGGUUCCGAUAGGUGGUGCUAUCGUACAUCCACGUUGAUGGAGACUUCAACCCACGAAGGGUAACGGUUGCGCGAGUCCACGGAGGGCUCCACCCAUGAAGGGUCCAUGAAGAAGCAACCUUGUCUAUCCCACCAUGGCCAUCGCUCACGAAGGACUUGCCUCACUAGGGUAGAUCUUCACGAAGUAGGCGAUCUCCUUGCCCGUACAAACUCCUUGGUUCAACUCCACAAUCUUGACGGAGGCUGCCAAGUGACACCUAACCAAUCUAGGAGACACCACUCUCCAAAAGGUAAUAGAUGGUGUGUUGAUGAUGAACUCCUUGCUCUUGUGCUUCAAAUGAUAGUCUCCCCAACACUCAACUCUCUCUCACAGAUUUGGAUUUGGCCGAAAGAUGAUUUGAGUGGAAAGCAAGUUGGAGAAGGCUAGAGAUCAAGAUUCAUAUGGUUGGAAUGGGAUAUCUUGACCUCAACACAUGAGUAGGUGGUUCUCUCUCAGAAAAUGUAUGAUGGAAGUGUAGGCAUGUUCUGAUGGCUCUCCUCACGAAUGAAGAGUGGGUGGAGGGGUAUAUAUAGCCUCCACACAAAAUCUAGCCGUUACACACAAAUCACCAAACUCGGUGGGACCGAAUCAGAAAACUCGGUCAGACCGAUUCAGUUCAUAAUGUGACCGUUAGGCAUUUCGGUGGGACAGAUAUUAUCAACUCAGUGGGACCGAUGUGCUAGGGUUAGGGUAAAACCUCAUCUCGGUUUGACCGAUUACACAAACUCGGUGGGACCGAUUUUGGUAAAGAGCUAACCAGAGAGUUGGUCAAGCAAACUCGGUGAGACCGAUUGCAAAUCUCGGUGGGACCGAAAUAAAUGCAACAGGCACCAGAGAGUUUCCAAGCCCAUCUCGGUGAGACCGGGAUCCCAUCGGUGAAACCGAAUUGAUUAGGGCUUGUGGAAGUGGCUAUGUCAAAUGAACUCGGUGGCGCCGGAUAGAAAGUUUCGGUGGGGCCGAGUUUGACUUUUGGUUUGGGACAUAUGUGGAUAUGAGAAAGUGGUUGAGGGUUUUGGAGCAUAUCACUAAGCACUUUGAGCAAGUAAGCCAUUAUGCAACACCUCACCCCCUUUUAAUAGUAUUGGCUUUCCUAUGGACUCAAUGUGAUCUUGGAUCACUAAAAGUAAAAUGUAGAAUCUUGAGCUUUUGAGUUUGAGCCAAUCCUUUGUCCUUAGCAUCUUGAAGGGGUUCCACAUCCUCUUGUCCACGCCACUCCAUCUGUUGAACUUGUCUGAAAUACACUAGAUGAAAACAUUAGUCCAACAAGAGAUAUGUUGACAUUAAUUACCAAAACCACCCAGGGAGCACUUGUGCUUUCAGGGUGGCGCCCCCUUCCCAAGUCCAAUUCGGCCUCCUCCCUUGUGGGGGGCGCACCAGCCCCUUGUGGGCUGGUUAGCCUCCCUCCUAUGGCCCAUAAGGCCCAUAUCUUUCCCCGGGGGGUUCCGGUAACCCCUCCGGUACUCCGGUAUGUACCCGGUACACUCCGGAACCCUUCCGGUGUCCGAAUACUACCUUCCAAUAUAUCAAUCUUUACCUCUCGGCCAUUUCGAGACUCCUCGUCAUGUCCGUGAUCUCAUCCGGGACUCCGAACAAACUUCAGUCAUCAAAUCACAUAACUCAUAAUACAAAUCGUCAUCGAACGUUAAGCGUGCGGACCGUACGGGUUCGAGAACUAUGUAGACAUGACCGGGACACAUCUCCGGUCAAUAACCAAUAGCAGAACCUGGAUGCUCAUAUUGGCUCCUACAUAUUCUACGAAGAUCUUUAUCGGUCAAACCGCAUAACAACAUACGUUAUUCCCUUUGUCAUCGGUAUGUUACUUGCCCGAGAUUCGAUCGUCGGUAUCAUCAUACCUAGUUCAAUCUCGUUACCGACAAGUCUCUUUACUCGUUCCUUAAUGCAUCAUCCCGCAACUAACUCAUUAGUCACAUUGCUUGCAAGGCUUAUAGUGAUGAGCAUUACCGAGAGGGCCCAGAGAUACCUCUCCGAUACACGGAGUGACAAAUCCUAAUCUCGAUCUAUGCCAACUCAACAAACACCUUCGGAGACACCUGUAGAGCAUCUUUAUAAUCACCCAGUUACGUUGUGACGUUUGAUAGCACACAAGGUGUUCCUCCGGUAUUCGGGAGUUGCAUAAUCCCAUAGUGAGAGGAAUAUGUAUAAGUCAUGAAGAAAGCAAUAGCAAUAAAACUAAACGAUCAUUAUGCUAAGCUAACGGAUGGGUCUUGUCCAUCACAUCAUUCUCUAAUGAUGUGAUCUCGUUCAUCAAGUGACAACACAUGUCUAUGGUUAGGAAACUUAACCAUCUUUGAUUAACGAGCUAGUCAAAUAGAGGCAUACUAGGGACACUCUGUUUGUCUAUGUAUUCACACAUGUACUAAGUUUCCGGUUAAUACAAUUCUAGCAUGAAUAAUAAACAUUUAUCAUGAUAUAAGGAAAUAUAAAUAACAAUUUUAUUAUUGCCUCUAGGGCAUAUUUCCUUCAAAAAUCUGUCAGAAAAUCAAGAAACUCUGGAGUAAUAGCGUUGGAUUAUAUCCAGAUUGCUAAAAAUCUGGCAGACCCUUCUACGAAAGGGCUAUCACUGAUUGUGAUAGAAAAUGCAUCGAGGGAGAUGGGCAUGAGACCCACGUAAGUUGCCAUGGGGGUAAUCCAACCUAUGUGAUCGGAGAUCCCGUGAAUUUGGACCUGGGAAAACAAUCUAGCGGUCAACUGAGGAGAGUAUCCUCAAUUAACACACUCCGUUGGAGAUGCAACAAUACUCUCAAAUCUGUAAGGCGGGCUGACUUUUGUCUUAAUGUGUUCCAAAGCUUAUGUAAGAAAGAUGCUAACCUACAGAGCAUUCUUUGGAGGAACACACCUAUGUGAGCCCGACUGCUGAUCACAGUCUAUGAGAUCGGGUAAUCUCUAGGAAGCUCAUGAGAAGGUAAGGAGUAUGACUAAUAAGCUCCACCCAUGGGGUUUAACCUCCGGUAGCCACAUAUUAGCUGACAAUAGGCGAAACUUCUGCACACCAAACUGACAAUUCAAGGCAUAGUCCAUUGUUCAGUUGUGAAGAAGUCUAAUCUUAUUGCUCUAGGUGAAAGUUCAACUUAACAGUCUCCACUGAAAAUUCUGGUAUAUCAAACAUUGUUUGGAACAGUUGACAAAGUUAUGUGCCUCGAGAUCUGGUGGGGGAUCGAUGGAUUAUAGAUGGGCUUAGGCCCACAUAAGACAAUAAUCCCUGGUUAAUCUCUAAGACCCAUUUAAGUACAUGGCAAGCAGUGAGAAGUUUAGUACCAUACUGGUAGUGGAGUGAGAGUGAGACCUUUUCUAUAAGGGCUGCUCUACUACAUGCCAUUAGGAGCUUGAGAAGAGGAGAUGUACACGCGCGCUCCUCCUCCUCCGCCGCCCGCCUCGCCACGCCUCGCCUCAUCACGACCCGCGCGCCACGGGUUGCGGGGAUGAGCCGAGCCGAAGCUUAUUUUUGUCGGUCAGGAAUAGUUAAUUAAUCUCGGAUCAAUUAACGAGUCACUACAGUAGUGCCACUGUUCAAGACGUUGGGCCGUGGGCUGUUCCUGGACUCGGCCGUGGGCCUGAGCCCAGGCCCAUCUACCCAACGGCCUAUAUAAGAAGGCUCCGGCCAGUGGAGUGAAUCCUAACUCGGUUCACUCACCCCCUCUCGCACAACCCUAGCCGUCAUCUACUGUUCCUCUCUAUGUGCUGCCUCCGGCGAUUCAAUCCCGACGACCGCGUGCAUGGUUGGUCGGGAGAGCAGGUGGCUCCGGAACCCUGUCGUUCGAGAUCCUACCUGGGAGAACGGCAAUAAGGUUUUUGGGGAGUGUCUGGACGCGACUGCUCCCGACCCGUCCCCGUCUCCGUCCGUCUUUGCUUCUACUACUUCCCCUACAUCGACUCCAUGGCUGAUGACGAAGCCGCCAAGAAGAAGGCCUCAGCCGAUGCUGAGGCUGUCGCUGGCCCGCUGCCGUCGCCGCGUUGGUCUGGCCAACCGGAGGGUAUGACCCGUUCAUCCCCUAUUUGCUCGUUCAUUUGAUGGUCGUAUAUAUGUUGUUCAUAGAUAUUUCGGUUCUAUAUAUUGUACAUGCUCACAUGCUUACGUAUUGAUAUGAGAUGCAUAUCGUAUUUGACAUGUUUACUGUAUACUCGUGGAUUAGAAUCAGGGCCGGUCCUGAGAUUUCGGGGGCCCGGGGCAAGACAGCGAAAAGGGGCCCUAAAGCCACAUUUUUCUCUAUUUCAAUUCAACGCAAUACUCGAUGUUGGACACAAAAAAUAAAUACUCGAUGCACUAUAAUUGGUGUUGCCUUGUCAUGUCAACUAUCCAACAAAUAAAGGUCAUAGACAUUCACAGAAAAUUUGGUCGUUUUUCAAUCCGCACUUAUAUUUUUCUAUUAGGUUCGUGCCUACUUAAUAUUUUCUCACUAGGUUGUUCCUGAACGGUAACAAAAGACAUUCCUCGGAAUUUCUAGUAGAAGUACUUGUAUUAGUUCUAGAAAUAUGCCAAUAUCUCCUUUCUUAAACUCAAUCAACUCAUAUGCAAGGUUAUUUUCUUUACUCAUUACCUGAUGGAUACUUUGUAGAUAACAUCUUGCUAAUUAGCACACAAACAUAUGAAACAAGAAAUUAAAAACACAGUUUGUUUUGAGGAUCAUUAAAAACUCAGUUAGUAAAAUAAAAAUUGGUAACAAAAGCUUGGAACGAGGUAGGUACCUGGUAGAAAAUAAAAAAUUGCAAGAUUUCGCUUCUGCUUACUAGUCACGAACAAAAAACAGAGCUCCUCUUCUCUAAUCCCAAACAACACAAGAAAUUGGAGGGUGAGAAAGAGAUAUGUACGGGGAUGAUCUUCAUGAAACCAAAGAACGAUCUAUAAAGACUUAUAGAAAAAGAGGGAUUUGCAUUGAAGAGGAGGUUGAUUGAGAUCUGAAAAUUUGUACUCGGAGUACCUUCUUCCACUAAUCACGCACAGGGCAUAGCAGCAGAAAAAUCACGAAUAGAAGACACGGGCGGGACGCAGUCGAUCUUGGGGCUGAUUCGUUGCCCAUGGGAGAAGCGGAGUAGUGGAAGAAGAAGAUUGCGCCGAGAAUAUUGCAAUCUGUUACCUUUUUCCCAUCUGAUUAGAAUAAAUCUAUCUAUUACAUUUUUAGGCGAGUCUAUCACGUAAGUAUGGAAACAUAUCCGUCGGGGGCCCCUUCGUACUCGUCGUUAGGGGAGUCUAUCACGUAAGUAUGGAAACCAAUCCAUCGGGGGCCCCUUCGCCAUCGGGGGCCCGGGGCGGCCGCCUCUAUCAUACCGACUUGAUAUCAUGGAUUUUGAUAUAUUUCUCUAUAAAUUUGAUCAAAUUUAAAUAGUUUGACUUUUCAAAAUAGUUAUAUACCUUAUAUUUUAAAAACAUAAUGCAUUUUUUAAGAAACUCAACAACACCAAUAACGCAGUAAAGCGCAUCUAACCCUUCUAAUAAAUAUUAAUCACAAAAGACAAUCUAGCUGGCUUUCUCCUGAUUGGUUUUUUGAGCGGAUGCAUGCGUGGUGAAGCAUCCUCAUUGUUUCUUUGAUGUGUAACAUGAGAAAACUAAUUUAUAGAUCAAUGAUUAAGCAAUCUAUUGAAUAAUCUCAUUCCUUGCGUGGAACCAGGCAGUUGCCAAACAAGUCGCUAGACACCCCAUGGAUCGCAUUGCAUGUCGCCAAGUGCACCAUCGAACUCGCAUCUCAUGCCGGAUGGAAUUGCUCUCUCCGUAGUCUAUCGGCCUGAUUGAUCUCUCGGUAGAGGCUAUAUGCUGAUAACGUGUUGUAAGCGAAAAUAAAUGAGACAAAUGAAGAGUACAAAUAAUUCACUAGUUUCGUUGUAAUAUGAGAGACUGACUUAUAUACAUUUUUUUGACAAAUGGUGGAUUUUAUUGCCUCAAAAUAAAGCAUCAAGAGAAUACAACCUCACACCUGGCUUCUGCAUAAUCAGAAUGCACACAACCAACACCUACACACGCACACAAAAAACACGCCGGCAAAUAGCAAAGUCAUAUAAGACCAAAGAUAUACUUAGGCUAGGAAAAAGAAAACCAAAGCGAUCUGAUCCGUGAUCGGCACACUACAGUGAUGACCAUAUCCACACCAACCAUCUUAUGACAUCACAAAGACAACGAUGUUUUUCAACAACAACGCCUUCAGAAAGGGAGUGACGCUCAAGCGCCAUCGUUACCGGAUCCAACCACCCACGACCAGAAUCUAGAUUUUCACCCUUAAGAACCAGUCUAGGCAUAUCCGAGCAAUGCCUUCAACAAGAUAACGACGUAGAAACUCGCCAUUGCCAGGUAUAACCAACUUGGGUCAAGACCUAGGCUUUCACCCCGGAGCUUGAGUCUGGGUGCUUCAGUAAUAGCACCAUCAAAGCCACAAAUGUGUUGUCGCCACCACUUUUUCGCGAAACCAGCAACUACAUACGAUGUGUGCCCGCUGCAGCUGCACAACCAUCCCUUUACAUCAAGUCAUUGUCCAUAGCUUGCAUCUCAGCACGAAGUCAACCACCAGAUCAGCAAGACCGCCGCCGCAAGCCGGAGUGGUCAUCGAGAACCAAUAUCGAUGGCGGAGCGCAACACUGCCAACUACCACCUCGCCGGAAAGAGCUCUACUCAUGCUCAUCGGCCUUGGGCCGACAUUGUCGGAGGUAGAGCGCAAAAGACAGAUCAGCAUCGCCGAGACGCGCCCACCGAACCCAGCCACCGCUAAAGCCUCGAGACCGCACCUCAUCACAGCCGAUGUCGUCCAACAACACGUGCUCCGACGCCAAUGCAUGUGCUCACCAUAAUGGAGCGAGCCCGGCAGAGGUAGGCCAUCAGACCAGCAGCAGGCUGCCGAGUCCAGGGCGCUCUGGCCAUCCCACGCGGAUGUAUAACACGCUGCCGCCAAGCCCUUCAUCUGGCCGUCCUUGUCGGAUCUCAUAUAAGGCGAAGAGCACGCCAAGGCGCAUCUCAAGUCACCACCACAACCAGCAGGGACACCCAUCGGCCGACGUCCUUGUCGCUGCCCACGCAGCCGAAGUGGAACGCCGCCGCCCACAGCCGCGCUGAACUCGCGACCAUCCCCGAGGCCGCCGCCCUGAGUUCCCAACACCGCCACCAGAACGACGCACUGGCGCCCCCUCCCCCUUUGAGGCAGGAGCCUGCCGCCACCGCGGCCAACGCCAGCGGCAACGGCGGCAGGGUAAGAACGAAUUUGGCCCUCCUCUAGCGGCUAGGUUAGACGCCCCGGUGCCGCGAGGAGCGGCACGGGAGCGAGCGAAGGGUUAUGCCACCUUUUCCCUUGUGUAGUUGACCCGGCCGACUUAUAUACGUGAUAAGACGAUGUGUUGGAGAGAUAUCUCUUUCUAACGACAUCUCUUGAAAAGCAUUCCUUUCAUAUAGUUGAUCACAUAUUUUAUUUUCUCAAUAUUUGCGAAGCCCGCGGAAAGAAAGCCAGUAAAAAUCUUCUCUGGGUAGAAAAUGGGGAGUAUUAAUUCCAGUGUCAAAAAAAGAGAUCGAAUUUCAAGCGCAGAGCCCACGUGCCGCUCCCCUCCGCUUUUCCGUCCUCCAAUUUACCACACCGAACGACUCCCCCCUCCCCUCCCACCACCUUCGCUAGUUCGCAGCAAUUCCCCUGCUCGCUUCCAGUCUUUUCCCCUUCCGGCCAAGAAAGCUCAUCGGCCGGCGCGACGAGGCCACCCACGCGCAAACCCCCGCCGCGCCGCUCUGCUUCGCCCCAGGUGAGAACGGACGGACGGACGGAACCUCUCUCCUUCCUCCCUCGACGCCGCAUUACCACCCCCGUCGACCAUUGGCGCAAAACCCUCAAACCCUACCUUUUACACUUGAGCCGGGGAGGUUCUUCCUUUCUUUCCUCUUCAAGAACAUUUCCCUCGUUUGGGGCGUGAUGCCUAGUUUAUCCGUCCUCUUUCUUCGUUGGGGUUUUCUGCUCUGCUCCGAUCGAACCGGCCGCCGCGAAAUCGCUUCCUUUUUUUUUGGUCUGCGUGCGAUUUUGAACCCGGCUACGGUGGAUUUCAUCCGUUCCCUUUCGGUAUCUCCUUGUGUACUUUGAUUCCUGGCUCUUGUACUUUCCUCGAUCCCUUUCGGGGGAGCUCGAUUCUUCAACUUCUUUUUUUUUCAUUUUUUUUAACUUUUUUAUGUGACAUGAUUGACGGGACUGGGGAGGGCUUGCAAGAAACGAACAAAUGCAGGAGGAUCAGAGCAGGUGGCCCCAAAUUUCGCGGGAAUGUGUUUACUUUCUUCUUCCCGGCCGGCUCCUCUGUUCUUCAGUUUGGGAGGAGCCCUGUUACACAAACCCUCGUGCAUGCUGAACUUGUCCUGUAGCUUAAUCAAUUGCAUUACCACACUAGUUAAACCUUGUUGGAACAGAAACCUAUGUUAGGACUUACGGCAUGGAUGAUUGGCUGUUUUCAUAAGCUAUUGCGACCUCAUCGCUGGCCGGACACUGGAGUUCACAAUACAGAUUAAGCUUCCUUUGAUUUCUGAAAGAGGCUUGUGGAAUACAGGCACUAGGUGUUAUUCUAGUAUUGACUGUUGCUCAUGGUAUAUGCUGCAUAUUGCAAGAUUGUAUAGUAUUAUCCACACAAAUCUUAUUAAAUCACAUGACUUACACAGUAUCAAACUUGUUAAACCUUGUUGGAACAGAAGCCAAUGUAAUGAUGGGGUGAUUAGCUGUAUACGUAAGUGAUUACAACCACAUUGAUGCUCGCUAUAGUAUGGAAUACAGAUUAUUGAGUUCAUCAAGUUCGUGCUAUGCUUAGAUUUAGUACGGCAAGAGGCUUGUAUGGAAUGUAUGACUGAACAUGUACCCAGCUUCUCUUUUUGUAUCUUGUUUCCUGUGUUAGGCGUCAUUCUAGUAUAUUGCUCAUGUAUAUGCAACUACAUCUUUAGCUUUCUGUAAUAUUUAUUAGAAGCAGUUCUUAAUAUAACUUGAUGAACACACCUUCCCUUUCUUUAUUUCUCUCAAGGUUGUUGGGCUUUUCACGUCCCUUCGCAAUGGACUAUACAUCGGAUGGAGACUCAGAGCUUGAAGCUUAUGGUUCUGACACUUAUGCACUUCUGCUAUCAGGAGAUAUAAAAGUGAUGCAUGAUGGGAGUUCAUACAAGUGCCCCUUUUGUUCGGUUGGAAAUGGUGACUAUAACAUACAUGAAUUACUGCAGCAUGCCUUGAGUGUGGGGGCUGCCCAUGACCAGGAAGCAAAACAGAAGGUAGACCAUCGAGCCCUUGCCAAGCAUUUGAAGGAUGAACCAGCUAAAUCACAUAGUCCACUGCUGAGGCCAAUUAUUAUGGAUCCACAGCCUCCUCAACAUAAAAGGGAUGAGCUGUUUGUCUGGCCCUGGAUGGGUAUCAUAGUCAAUAUGCCUUCUGAAUAUGUUGGAAAAAGUGCAAACCGGCUGAAGGAGCAUUUCUCCUGUUUUCAUCCAGUUAAAGCACAUCAUGUGUACAGUAAAGGUUUUCCUACAGGUAAUGCUAUUGUUGAGUUUGGCAAGGACUUUGGUGGGUUUAGGAAUGCACGAAUAUUUGAGAAUCAGUUUGAGAAGAAUGGGUAUGGGAAAAUGGGCUGGCAGGAAAAAGAGCGCAGAGGGUCAGAGCCUUUUGGAUGGAUCGCUAGGGCAGAUGAUUACAAUGCUCCAGGGGCAAUAGGGGACUUUCUAAAGAAAAAUGGCGAUCUGAAGACGGUUGACGGCGUUGAGAAUGAAGAAAAAAAUAAAAAUGAGAAACUUGUGGCCAGUUUAUCUUCUAAGGUUAUUGAAAAGAAUAUGCAUUUAGAAGCACUUGAAUGUGAGUAUCAGGAGAGAACUGUGUCAUUGCAAAGGAUGAUGGAACAGAGGGAACAUCAGCUCCAGUCAUACAGCCAAGGUGCUUGCUAACCUUCUUGUAAUUUAUAUGUGAUAUAUUAUCAAUGUCAAGUAACUAUAUGCAUCAGCUGAUUUCUACCCUCUUGUUGAUCAUGCCGGUGUUUAAGCAUUACAAAAAGGCUGAUGUAUGUUUUGAAUUUCAUCUGUCUUAGAACUCCAAAAGAUGCGACAGUGCUCUGUCGAACAUACACAAAAGAUUGUUGACGAGAACAAGAAGCUGCGCUUUGAUCUUCAGUCUAUGACGCAUGAGCUUGAUGCAAGGUCCAAAGAACUUGAUGAGUUGGCUGCACAGACUGAUUGCGAUAGAAGGAAGCUUGAACUGGAGAAGCAAAGGGUGAGGCAUCUUGUCUUCGUAUGAUAUUUUUCAAUCAACAAGCCCAUAUAGCGACUUGUAAGUUACUGUAGUGUGUAGCUUCUUCUGUUCAUGUACUUCUUACAGCUGUCGGUUACUAUCGGAUCUUCAACUGGCAUUCCAUAAAAAAAACUAGUUUAGUAUAUUCUUUGUUGACUUAAAGAAAAACUGGCAUUGGGCGUCACCUUUUGUUCUAGAUAUCAUGGAGCAGAACUUUUGGUGUUCGGAUUGUUAUACAGAACUAGCAUGCUGUCCACACAAAUGCACGUGCAACUUCUUUAAUGUGUAUAUUUUUUCUGAAAGAGUAAUAUCCUUUCGUGGAAAAUCAAUAUACUAGAUGGAAAUAAAACAACCUUGUAAAAAUUAUUCGUGAACUUAAUUAACCAUGCACCGCUUAGAUUCUUAUGCAAGAUCGGACGGCCACCACGUGUGGAGCCCCGUUCCCUUGGUUCUACCAAACUUUUCUUGGAUGUUCUGUCCAUGGUGAGAUAUGAAAUUGUUAUACCCAACUCGGUGGUGUCAUUAGUUCCCUGAGAACUCGAUGCUCCGUGACUUGUUGAAAUUUUUGUUUCAAUAUUGUGCCAUUUUGGUUGCAAGAUUGAGCCUGUACAAAAUGAAAAUUUAAGGAAGUCAUAAACUUCAAAAAGACACUUAAUUUGUAUGAGUGGCUAAGAUGACUAUAUGGCAUGGUCAAAAUCGGUGCAGAACAUGAUUAGAUGUCAAAGUGAACAAACAAGAGAAACUAGGUGGCAAUUGUACAGGGAAGACUAUUUCUGUUUGAUUGAUAUUAUUACUGGAGGGGUGUCUCCAGGAAUUUGGGGCCCGGGGCGAACUUCAAAUUGCAGCUCCAAUUCUUUUUUAAAUAGUAUAACUAAUGGACUAUCUUGAAAAAGUCUCAUACCUACCCAAGAAAUACAUCAUGCUAAAGCAGCCAAAUAUUUGCUGGAAUACACAAUAUGAGUAGAACUGAAAAUCUGUGUUGAACGAUCAGACAAAAUAGAUAAAAUAUGACAAAAAAUAAUACGGGGAUACAAAAGGGUACCUGAUCAACAGGUUGCUUCGUCCGUGCAUCCUAUAUGUGUAGACACUCCUGUUGCGGACAUCGAUGGAAAAUAUCAUCAUCUUGUUUUUCUACAACAUGAAAUCAAAUUGAAAUAAAAAUGGAGGAAAAUUGAGUUUAAUGGUAAAUGAUUUGUUUUCACUUCAAUUUCAGUUCAACGUUUAAGUGCAUCAAUUUAUAAAUCAACACAUACAACAUCAAUUUGGAAAUCAACACAUACAACAUGUCAGUUCAAAUGCAUCUGGUAUUGUUAAUUAUAUGUCUGUCUUGGUCCAAGAAAUUACGCAGACGUUUGCUCUUGGCUUCCGAGGUGCAUCCAAUCAUGGGUGAGGGGGAGGCAGGGUAAGGCGCCCAUCAGCAGCAGUACAGGGGCUGGGCGGGUCGGCCAUACGCUGGGGAGCACUUGCGGGAACGACAUGAUGGCACCAGCAAUGGAGCAGCUAGCAGGCCGAGCUGGAUUAGAGGAUAGCAGCGGCCGGCAGCAGAUUGCAUUAGACCGUCAGCAGGAUUAGAGGCGGCGCUAGCAAGCGGGAGGACUGGGGUGGGGGUUGGGGACUAGGGGAGAGCUGCGGCCCUAGGGCUUGCGGCAGUCUUGUGCAGAGAUUGAGGGGGCGAUCGCAUCAAACUCAGGCGGCUCGCACACACGCACCUGCGCGGCAGUUUCUCCCCCGAUCGGUGGCCCCAUGAUUUUGGGGGCCCUAUGCGGUCGGCCACCUUGGCCGCCCUCAUCGACGGGCCUGAGGCAACUGCAUGAAUGGGAUGGGUGUCACUCGGAGCAGCAUUGUUAUGACUGGCAUAUUAGGGGCUUAGCCCAGUGGGUUGUGGCCCAAGUUAUCUUAUCGUUAUUAGGGGCUUAGCCCAAUUAUCUUAUCGUUAUUAGGAUCAUUUGCUUAGGAGUCAAGUAAACCUCUCUAUAUAAGGAGAGGAGAUGUAUCAAUCUAAUCAAGCAAGAAGCAAUCAGUAUUUGCUCGGCUUCCCUUAGGGAGCCGGGAGACCUAACCCUUGCCGCCUCUUGUGCCGCCGUCGCCUCUUCUCCACCACGCAAGGACGGCGCCCAGCCGCCGGCCGCCGCGCCCUCGACCUCGUCUUCCUCCAUCGUUCCCCUACAAUCUCCGCCCUAGAACCGGCAGAACCCUAGCUCCUACCAAUUUGGUAUCAGGUAGCUCGGUUCCGAUCAUGUCUGCACCACCACCCAACCCGCCGUUGCCCGUCACCAUCGCGCCGCUGCCUCUCUCCACCGCGCCGCUGCCUCUCCCCACCGCGCCGCUGGACUCCACCGCUAGCGCCUCCACCAGCCAGACGCCGCCGCCCUCCACCGCGCCGCCCGUCGCCAUCUACUCGCCGGCGGAGAUGACCGGGGUCCUCAACGACCUCGUCGCCUCUACCUGGCCGGACCCUACGGGCAGCCCCCGCCCUUGCAACCGGCCGCAGCGACCGGGCCAGCCGCCCUGCCCUGGUACGCGGCCACCACGGCGCCGAUCGGGCCUCUACACCACCAUUGGCCCGGUCAGUCGCCGUACGCGGCCACCACGGCGCCGAUCGGGCCUCUACAUCACGAUUGGCCCGGUCAGUCACCGCCCGCUGUCUCCCUCCACUGGCCGCAGUGGCCGGCUCCGGCGAUCGCCGCGCCCCCGACGCCUCCCGGGUUCGGGCAGCCGCAGCCCCAGCUGCCGGCCCCACCGCCGUUCGCUGCCGGCCCCACCGCCGUUCGCUGCCGGCCCCACCGCCGUCCGCUGCCGCGCCUCAAUGGCCACAGUGGCCGGCCCCGGCCCUUGCUGCGCCCCCCACGCCACCCGGGUCCGUGCCGCCGCAGCCGCAGCUGCCGGGCCCGUCACCGCCCAACACGGGGCCCGGGUCACCCUCGCAGGGAGGCAUGCCUAUCCAGCAAGUGUGCUUCCCGCCGUCGCCAUCCCCAAUACCGGCCUGGCUGACCGGAUCAUCGCCGCCACCCGUCUACACGUCGGCUGGAGACUCGUCGGCACCCACUCUGCAGUUCGGCGAUCCCUCCGGCUCGGCGGGGCACUCCACGGGCGGCGGCCGUACUGACCGGGCGCCCCAAUCCUCGCUGCUUCACACCUCCGAGCCAGUCGGCCACGGCGCUCCGACUCAGACAGCGCCGCGGUUUGCCAAACUGGACUUCGCCACCUAUGACGGCACGGAGGACCCCCUCAACUGGCUCAACCAGUGCGAGCAGUUCUUUCGCGGGCAACGCACCCUCGCCUCGGAGCAUACCUGGCUCGCCUCUUACCACCUCCGCGGAGCGGCCCAGACCUGGUACUACGCCCUCGAGCAGGACGAGGGCAGCAUGCCCCCUUGGGAGCGCUUCCGCGAGCUCUGCCUCCUUCGUUUUGGGCCACCGAUCCGUGGGAGCCGCCUGGCAGAGCUAGGCCGCCUUCCCUUCACCUCCACGGUUCAGGACUUCGCCGACCGUUUCCAGGCCCUGGCAUGCCACGCGUCGGGCGUGACGGCGCAGCAGCGGGCCGACCUCUUCGUCGGUGGACUUCUGGAUCACAUCCGCGUGACGUGAAGCUUCGGGGACCCCAGGAUCUCCAGAUGGCCAUGUACUACGCCUGCGUGUUCGAACGCCGCGCGGCGGCCAUCCAGCGGGCAUCACCGUCCCGGGCUGCUGGGCUGCUACCCGGCCGGAUGUUCCCGCGCAGGGUCGGCCUGUUUAGGCUUCCGCGGCACCCCUCGCUUCGACCGCGGCCCGCCCGUUCCACCGGCUCACCUCGGCCGAGCUACUCGAGCAUCGCCGCCAAGGGUUGUGCUUUAACUGCGACGAGCCCUACACGCCCGGCCACGUCUGCCCGCGACUCUUCUACCUGGAGGCUGCAGACUACAUUGAGGAGGACGCCGUCGCCGCCGACCUGGCCGCCCCAGCUGUCGCGAAGGUGUUUGACGUUGGUUGAUCACCUUGAGGAGUUCAGCAAGCGCUUCCCCACCUUACAGCUCGAGGACGAGCUGUUUGUGCAGGCGGGGAGAAGUGUUAUGACUGGCAUAUUAGGGGCUUAGCCCAGUGGGUUGUGGCCCAAGUUAUCUUAUCGUUAUUAGGGGCUUAGCCCAAUUAUCUUAUCGUUAUUAGGAUCGUUUGCUUAGGAGUCAAGUAAACCUCUCUAUAUAAGGAGAGGAGAUGUAUCAAUCUAAUCAAGCAAGAAGCAAUCAGUAUUUGCUCGGCUUUCCUUAGGGAGCCGGGAGACCUAACCCUUGCCGCCUCUUGCGCCGCCGCCGCCGCCUCUUCUCCACCACGCAAGGACGGCACCCAGCCGCCGGCCGCCGUGCCCUCGACCUCGUCUUCCUCCAUCUUUCCCCUACAAUCUCCGCCCUAGAACCGGCAGAACCCUAGCUCCUAACAAGCAUAGUGGUUGCCUGGUUGGAUCGUUGCUCAGGAGCCCAGGUUAAUUUUGCUAUGUGCCAAUGUUCGGGUCCUAUAUGGCAUGCCUCAUCUUGUUUAGUCGUUCAUUCUUUGUUAAAUUUAUAGAUUUUGCCUAUUACCAUACAUACACCAGGUGCAAUUUUCAUUUUUAUCGUCUGAGUUUAAGUAACUACAUAUACUUCAUAAUGCAAUCAUUUUAUUUUCAGUUAGUAACGAGAAUAUGUGGUGUGUUAGUCUUGUUUGUAGUGGCAUACUUGGCCUUUGUUCAAUAAGGUCAUGUCUUUUUUUAUUAGCGUCAUACUUUUAUAUUCUUUUACUUAAAUAUCCAUGUAACACUCAAAUAUGACAUGAUAUGUAACUCAAAUAAGCAGAAGCAGGUUUAGGCUUAAGUCACUAAUUGGUUUAGUUUUCAAUACAUGUAGUUGUUUUUCUUUUCUACUUAGAGGUAGCAGGGCUUGAUGGGUCAAGUCAAGUGGAGUCCCAUAUUAUGAGAUUCAAGGAUUAUGAUUUAACGAUAAUGUAGAUUAUUGAACUGAUUUUUGCUUUUGUUGUGUUAUUUUCUAGUCGUCCUCUCUUUUUCCUGGUUGACCCAUCAUGUUCUUUUAGUAUAUAAUUGAUGUAACUGAAUCUACCAUCUGAGGAUGGAAGCAUAAUAAUGUAACUAAAUCACUUUCAUUAAAAUGUCAUUUAAGUUGUGUUUUGUUCUUGUACAGAAUGCGACAAAGUCCAAUCAUCUUAUGCUGGCAGAAAUGGAGUAUCAGAAAGCUAAUGAGAAUGUUCGCAAGCUUCUCGAACAACAACAGGUUAGUCCCUGCUGUGCGAAUACAUUUUCAAGCUGUUUUGUUUUUGAUGACACAAGUUUUAAAGAUGUCUAUCCUGUGUAUAAACUGCAGAAAGAGAAAGAAACUGCUUUAAACAAUGCUAAGAAGUUGGAGGAACAGUUUCAUGUGAAGCACAAUCUUCAACUAGAAAUAAAGCACCUGACAGGAAAAUUGGAAGUGAUAAAGCUCACACCAGGCAAUGAAACUUCAGAAACAGGGAAAAGAAUAGCUGAACUGACAGAGGAGCUGCAAGAUAAGAUCGAUGAGAUGGAAUAUACAGAAAACUACAACCAAGGUCUGAUCUUGCAAGAAAAAAAGGCUGCUGUUGAGUUGCAAGAAGCUCGGAAAUUUGUGUUAGAUGUAUGCUGCUUCUAAUGCUCUACUGUGUAAUUUGAGUGAGUGCACUAGUUGGUUUUUGUAUUCAUGUUUUGUUCGAUUGCAGGCUCUACAGGACUUGGGCGGUCAGACCAGUGACAAAGCACACAUAGGCAUCAGGAUGAUGGGUGAGCUUGACUCAAAGGCAUUUUUAAAUGUGUGCAGGAAAUAUUUUCCAAACGAUGAUGCGGAAGUUGGAAGUGUUGAGAUUUGUUCAAAGUGGCAGAACGAAAUUAAAAAUCCAGAAUGGCGUCCUUUUAAUGGAAAGGAAUUGGUAAGAAAUCCUUCUCUGUUUGUUACCUUACCACAACCAUCCAUUGAAUCAAAGACGAGGCCUGAUGUUGGGCAAAGGCAGGGGCCCAGGGGCUUCGGUUUGUUCUGCCCACAUCCUGGGACGUCCAUUGAUNNNNNNNNNNNNNNNNNNNNNNNNNNNNNNNNNNNNNNNNNNNNNNNNNNNNNNNNNNNNNNNNNNNNNNNNNNNNNNNNNNNNNNNNNNNNNNNNNNNNNNNNNNNNNNNNNNNNNNNNNNNNNNNNNNNNNNNNNNNNNNNNNNNNNNNNNNNNNNNNNNNNNNNNNNNNNNNNNNNNNNNNNNNNNNNNNNNNNNNNNNNNNNNNNNNNNNNNNNNNNNNNNNNNNNNNNNNNNNNNNNNNNNNNNNNNNNNNNNNNNNNNNNNNNNNNNNNNNNNNNNNNNNNNNNNNNNNNNNNNNNNNNNNNNNNNNNNNNNNNNNNNNNNNNNNNNNNNNNNNNNNNNNNNNNNNNNNNNUCAUUACUCAAGGAGGCUUCUCAGCGAGAGCCAGGUUUACAACAAAGUCCAUCCCGGCAGUAAGCCAGACUACUGUGCGCGGAGUGCUACGGCCAUAGGCGGCCAGCUCAUGACUAAUCCUGUUCUGCAGACGGCUACAAAGAGUAAAAGAGAUCUCCCUAGCAUGACACUUUAACGCUCACCUCCUAGGAGGACUGUUCUAUCUUUUCAAUGAAAUGAAACGCAAAGGUCCUUUGCGUUUUCUCGAAAAAAAGGAGGAUCCCAAUCCGCUUAGCAAUCCUUGUAGGGAUGCAGGCAGACACGUCUGUGAUUGUCCGCAUUUAUGGUUUUUGUAUUAGCUUUGUUUUAAAAGCAGCAGUUAUUAGCUUCUUUUCGCUUUCGUGGACAGUCGCGGACAGCAUGGAUGCGCCCGCUUGCAUCCCUAAAUCCUUGUCAUUGCAUAUUUAGACUUUGUGCAAAUGACAAGUGCAACACCAUUUUUUUUUGUUGCACCUUCAAUUAUAUCACCUGGUUGGUACUUCUGAAUUUCUAAGCUUUCUCCAUCUUGCAUAUAAAUAUUUAUUAGGAUCGCUGAUGCUGCACCUGGUGCAUAUUCUUGUGUAGGAAGUGAUCAAUGAGGAUGACAUGAAGCUCAAGGAGCUGAAAGAGGUGUACGGCGAGGAAGCAUAUGCUGCGGUGGUGACAGCGCUGAUGGAGCUGAAUGGCAGCGGCAGCAGCAGCGGCAGCAGGGUUCCUUUCCCGGAGCUAUGGAACCAGAGGGAGGGGAGGAAAGCAAAAUCCAAGGAAGCAGUCCAGCAUGCCAUCAAGCUGUUCAAGGCGAGCAAGAGACGGCGUUGAGCUGCUCAACGCUACGGUUUUCUCUAGAACCGACCCUAACUAAGCAGGACACCUUUCUAUGUUUGCUCAUAUAUUAAGUAGAGGGAAAUGGUGGUGGAGCGACCUGUGCUUUUUGCAGUUAUUACGUGGCUGGUAGCAGUUGUUCGUUGUCCAUGGCUGGGCUGGCUGCUUGACUUGUCGUGUGUGUGUGUGAUGAAACCCUCCAGCGUCUGAGACUCUUAGUGUUCUAAUAUGGGAUGACACUUAACUGGUUAAGUGUUAGCUAUAUUUGGCUAUGUGAAGGAUUAUGUUGUCAACUUCUUCCUAGGGGGAGAACUUUCGAUCUAUUUAUCAUUUGUCAUGGCAGUAACAAGAACAUCACAAGUAGUCCGUAGGUAAUCUAGCGAUGACUAUAAGCAUUGGAGCGGGUUGAAGGCGUGUCGCUGUUAUCACACCUCUUUUACUGGAUCCAGGCAAACUUUGUUGUUGGAUUAGCACACUAAAAGAGAAGUUUAGAUCGGAAGGGUUCAACCUGACACCACAUGUACGGAGAUGAAUGACGAUGGGAUCCCAAUAGAUCCAUUGAAGAUCAUUACCAGCCAGAUUUUUUUACCUCAAUUGCAUUAUAAAUGAUGAGACGACAAAUUAUACAAUUGAUUGAUGAAAGUAAUUACCACAACUAGUAGCUCCUUCAAUUGCAUAUUCGUAAAGACAUAGUAGGAUCGAUUAUUGCCGAGACAGAGCGGCAUGCAGACAGAGGAGCCACACAUGAACACGUAAGGGUACUACGCUUAAUAUAGUGCGCGCACACACGACACGACGCAACCGAAACAACUUAUUCAUCGUCUCUCACCAGAGAUCGAUCUCAUCUCACCAGUUCUCUCUCGUACAUAGUGCCCAGCCACCCAAGCGCGGAGGGGACAGACACGUUGACUCAAACGCAUAAAACGCGUGUCUAUUUGGGUCGUCCGGUUGGAGUUGCUCUCUUAGAGUGACUUGGGGGCGAUGCGGCCGAGGCGGACGGCGUUGACGUAGUCGCGCGGGCUGUGGGAGGCAAGUCCGGGGACGAGCAGGCCGGAGGCGCGGUAGAGCAGGGAGACGGGGCCCUCGCGGUAGUCCUUGCCGGCCCUCGCCC